rnacentral:lncRNA from 1 species
GCCGCCUCCCUGGCCCUAGCCCUCGCCCUCGCCCCAGCACGCGCCGCCGCCAUCCUUCACCCAGCCCGUGCCGCCGGAUUACGCCCUCUUCACAGCGCGCCACCGCCCUCAUCUUCCCCCAUAUCAACAGAGCAACCGUCCUCCUGCCCAACGAGACCGAACCACCUACAAGCCCGAGCACCCUCUCCCGAAGAACACCGGCCACGCCCCGAAGUCUGCAUUGAUAUUCUCAACUAUCAUCAAUUUUUUGGCUGGAUUUCUUAUGUUCUUGCAUGCGCUCACUUUUUAUAGUGGUCGUUUACUUUGCCUGUUAGCUUGCCUUACUGUCCACCGGAGCGAUUGACAUGAACUUGUAUUUCUACCAUAAAGAAGAACCAGGUGUUAUGUACCAACUGCAUCAUAUUUUUAACAGUAAUCUGUUAUACUGGAGCAUUUUUUAUAACUCAACUGGAUGUUACUCAUCAGCUGCAUCAUGUUUUUAACAGUAAUUUAUUAUUGUUUGGCAUUUUCUAUCCACUCUGCAUCCUGUUGUUCACUUAGUAAUUGAGAAAGCAGCAUUAUGUUUUUCCUAAUUUGCUAUGCAAUUUUUGGCGAAUCAUUUGUACAGGCCGGUUUGUUCUUUUACGGUCUUGCUUUAUAAUUAACUAGGCAUAUCAUUUAGAGGCAUCUUAACCAGUCUGUAAAACUUAAGCUUGAGAUACUUGUGUCAGUCUAGAUCCUUCACAAUAUGCAUGAAUAAUGAUUUUAUAGAUAGAAAGUGUUGCAGGUAGCAGAGGAACAGAGUGCAGAAAUAAUGAUUUUUCCAAAAGGUGCUCCAUGUAAGGAGAUAUUGAAGCCAUUCAAUGAGAAAUCUAGGAAAACCAAUGUGGACGGGAAAAGGAUCAGGACUUGUUCGAAUGUGGCAAACCAAAUCACGACAGGCGAACAUAUCCUGUCCUGAAGUAAUCAUUUAUGUUUUGCUGUUGUAUGUACUUGUUUUAUCUAUGUGCUAGCAAAUGAACUUACCAUUUUUUUUGUUUAGGCCACCACCUGCGACAUGAUGAAAUUGAGUGGUGUCCGGCUGCUUAUCUGGUGAGCUCAUGUAAAAACAUGGAUGCUGAUUAUGCUCCACAAUGCCAAUCUGCCAUGUAUAUCUUCCAUAUAGAGAUUUCCAUAUAAUUGUUUGAUAAAUUGUCCAUUGUAGGAGUUAGGCUAUGGCUUUGGAAGAGGAUCCAGCAGAACCACAUGCUCCUGAGAUGGCUUCCGCCGCACAAGCUAGAUGGAUUAGUCGUGCCAUUUGCGAUGCAGUUGUAUUUUUUAGAAUAAAUUGUGCUAAGAAAGCCAAAAAUGAUGUCUUUUGUCUAAUAUGCCAAAUGUUUGGCAUAUCUGCCAUGCUUGGUAGUGUAGCAUGCAAAAAUGAUACAAGAGAUUGUAAUGUGCCAUACAUUGAGCUUUUAUUUAUGUUUUUGUGGUACUAUAACUCCAUUUCUGUAAUUUCUUGAUGCCAUGAAAAAUUUGGCCCCAAACAAGCUGAAAAUGUGGUCUACAUGCCUACCAAAUUGAUGCCAGAAUUUGCAUUUUCGGACCACAAUUUGACAUUUUUUCAAAGUUUCCGGAUAAUCUUGAAAUUUUUCCAAUAAAUAGUAAAUGCUUUGUUAUAUAAUCUGGGAAAAUUUCAUCUCAUUUUAGUGAACAGUUCAAAAGUUAUGAGCUUAUGAAGUUUUUUUCCUUAAGAAAACCCUGGUUAUGUUUGCUAUGCAGCGAUCGGCAAGUUCUAUCGUGUAGAGCCGAUAAGAUAACUCUCUCCUUACUAGUCAUUUUUUUUGUUCUCUUGAGCAAAUAACUCUUGUCAUCAAAUAUCAAUGCAGGACAAUUGUCCAAUGUUUUGAUCCAUCUCCUUGAGUCAUAAGUCGAUUAUAAAGGCAUCGCUUGGGACAUUCUGCAACUUGCUACAUGUACAUAAUGCAAUUGUUUAUGGAGAGGGCAAUCAUCCGAUCUGCACCUCAUCAUGGAGCUGUUUAAGCAAAAGGCAACUAUGCCGGUCCGUCUCUCUGCUCGUUAUUUAGCUGUUGAUAGAUAGGUUAUAUGGUCUGUUGAUCUCGAUCCAAUCUCCCAUCUUUGCCUUGUUUUAUUGCCUUGUGGUUUCAAAUAUUCUUCUGAUGAAACAAUUUCAGAAAAUGUGCAUUUUUGUGUCAAAACAGGAAAUGUGCACCAGAUGAAAGUGAAAACAUGAAUAUAUAAAGUACAACUAUAAAUAAAUACAAAUAAACAUAUUUUCCUAUAAAAAAAUACAAAUAUCCAUAUCUUCGUACAUACAGUAAAGAAUAUGACCCCAUAUAUAUAUAUAUAUCCUUCAUGAGGCAACAACAUUGACUAUACAUACUGCUGCUGUACAACCUGAACAUCCUACUAGAUAACCUACAGCCUACAGAUUGAAAUGUUCAAAACAUCCAGCUGAAUUCUGAGUACUCUUCCUAUACUUUCUGAUCCAUGCCAAAAACCACAGAACCUGCAAGACAUCAAGAAAAGCAUAGCAGUCAGCAUCAAAGACUCGGAGUAGGGUUCUUUUUGUUUUUGCUGGAAGGAGACUCAGAGUAGGAUUAGUUUUUGUUUUAGAGUCUGAAUACUUGGUUGUGCUGGGGCUGCAAGACAACUAAUAGUCUGAAAAGUUACAUCGAAGUGACAGAAUAUGAUUAGGGUGAGCUCCCUAUGUCUACGGUAGAUGAUCAAGUUACUUCCACGCGUAUAGAUUGACUAACUUACAUCAAUUAUUUUAAAAACUAGCCUCCAUGUAGUUUAUAAUACAUAGUUACGUCUACCACUAUAGAGUAACCUGCACACACAAAAUACAAUAGGUUGCGGAUCAAGGACAUCUAAAAUGAUCAAAUUACAUAGUUACAUCUAGCAUUCAAAUUGUGACUACCUUUCCCAUCUAAUUAGUUUUGUUUUUAUGCUGUUGAGAUAGAACCAUGCAUAUGUUCUCAUUGAUCCCAUUCAAGUAUUCAACCACAAUAUUGUGCUUCCUACAAAAGCUCAACUAGUGCUCUUGAAAGUGAUCAAAUUUCUCUGAUAAUUUUGUGACUAUCACUAAUGACCAAAGACCCAUAAAAGUUCAUCCGACUAAUUAAGGUCCCCAACUAAUAACUGGUUGGCUGUGAUUUAAACAUGCACAAAAGAUGCAAGAUAGGAAGUCUGCAAUAAUGGUCGGUCUAGUAAAAGCACAUAUUAAAAUAGUGGUGUAGUCAUGACUUUUGAGACCGCGACCGACGACAACAGCAAAACCAAAGCGUUCUUCGGCGUUAUCGAGGAGAUCUAGGAAUUGGAGUACUUGAUCACAAAGAUCCCAAUGUUCUGUGUAAGAUGGACCAAAGGUGACAAAGCAGAAAGUCACAGGUUCACGACGAUGGUGCUACCUCCUGAGAUCCCUCGUGAACAAGUUGACGUGAGAAAAAUCCUGGCAAGAGAGGAGUCAUGGGUCUUUGCUAAACAAUGCAAGAAAUUAUUCUACAUAGACGACCCGGCAAAUAAAGGCCGCGUCGUAGUAAGAAGAGGAAAAAGAAGCAUUGUUGGAGUGGACGGAGUUAUUUCACAAGAAGACUACGAAGGUUUCCAUGAUCCGACGACCGCCGCAGAUGACGAAGAAGCGGAACGCACGACAUUAACGAGGAAAAGGAGAGGGAAAAGAAGAAGUGAUGGGAGUGAGAGCGAUAAAAUAUCACAAAACCCCUACGUCAGAAGCACUACUGCGAGGAGUCAAGUUAUGACUUACCGAAGGAAAGAAAAGCACUAGUAGUCACAUUGUUAUGUACUCGUACUGAAUUAGAAUGCAAACUUUGUACUAGGUGAAAUUAUGUGUGAUCGAUGUACUUUUGUGUAUGCAUGUUAAUACAUGGCUUUGUCACUCCUAAAAAGUCAAUCCAAAAUUAUAGGUAUUAUGUCAUGAAUUUUUUAAAUUAAAUUUAGCACAAAUACUAGACAAAAUGCAUGAAUUUAUUCAUCAAACUUUCACUUUUUUGUUUCAUCUAUUGAAUGUGACAAGUACAUGUCCUAAAACACUAAAAAGGACAGGUUUUAAUUUUUUUAAACGUUCUUGUAAUUUAAAUUGGUACAAAGCUCAACAGGUAUAGAUGCACAUCAGUAACGGUCGGCUGGUUAAUUGCCCGUUACUGAUGUGCAUCUAUACAUCAGUAACGGUCGCGAACUUACCGGACCGUUACUGAUGUAUAGAUGCACAUCAGUAACGGUCGCGUGGGAAGGCGACCGCCACUGAUGUGCUUGGGCAUAUAAAAGGAACGGCCGAAACCCUAGCCCGUUAAUCCUCUCGCCUGCGCGUCGCUUUCACAGCCGACCAGCAGUGGGCUCUCUCCUCCCCCGGGCGAAGCCCUGCCGGAUCUCCGCGCCGCCACUGCCGUCCUUCUCCUCCGCGCCAUCGACCUCCUCCUUCUCCUCCGCGCCUUCGACCUCCUCUGCUGUCCCGAGCCCUCGAGCCCGCCGCCGCUCUCGACCUCCUCCUCCUCCCCGAGCCCGAGCCCACGCCGUCUUCCUCCUCCACCCCGAGCCCAUGCCUCGUCGUCCGCCACGGCGCCCGGAGCCUGCCGCCGCUGAGCCCGCGCUGUCGUCCCCGAGCCCGACGCCGCCGUCUUCCUCCGCGCCGCCGCCCGCCGCCGCCGUCGACCUCCUCUGCGUCGAGCCCGCCGCCGCCCUCGACCUCCUCUGCGUCGAGCCCGCCGCUGCCUCCCUCCGCGACACCCCCGACGCCAUCCUCCUAACCCUAGGUGCGCGCGCUCCUCUGCCUCCCUCUCCUCUGAUUUCCAAGAACUAGGGUACAUGCUGGAAUUAGGGUUAGGAUUAGAACCAUAUUGUAUAUUCUGGAAUUAGGGUUAGGAAUAGAACAAUGUUGUAUAUACAUGCUGGAAUUAGGGUUAGGAUUAGAACAAUGUUGUAUAUACAUGCUACAAUUAGGGUUAGGAUGCUGGAAUUAGGGUUAGGAUUAACAAAUGUUGUAUAUACAUUCUGGAAUUACGGUUAGGAUUAGAAUAAUGUUGUAUAUACAUUCUGGAAUUAGGGUUAGGAUGCUGGAAUUACGGUUAGGAUUAGAGCAAUGUUGUAUAUACAUGUUGGAAUUACAAAUGUUGUUUAUAUACAUGCUGUUUGAAAGCUAUAUACAUUGUACAUGCUGUUUAUAAAUGUUGUUUAUAUACAUGCCGCUUUGGAAAGUGCUUCAUUUAUGUGAAUUGUGGGCCCGACCAUUGUGUCGGGUCAUUGGAGAAGGGGCCGGCCAUCGUGCCGAGGGGGUACAUUUGCGGGCGGGUUUUUUAUGCAGGUUUCGAGCUCCUAGUAGACAAAAUUUGCUAGUUUUUUAGCAUAGGUCAUGCCGAAAUUUUCGACUGAUAUAUAUUUGAUGGUUUUGAAGGCAUAGGUACGAAAUGGGCAAGAGUAGUCAGAAAUCAGUUCUUAAGGACGUAUCUCCUGAGGAGGUGUAUCGUGUCGAUGAAGAGUCUUCAUCGGCAGAGCAAAUUGCCAGCUCUGGCGGCGAUCCUAGCUCUGGCGAAGGUAGCUCUUGUUCAGAAGAGCAGAACAACGAGCGACGGGUGGAAGAGAGUAACCCGUAGCCAACUGCUUCUACGGCGAAGAAGCCAAGGAAAAAAGAUGCCGAGGGGGAGCCACAACUUGAAGAAGUUUUGCUACGUGGUCACCCGGCACUCUGACAGAGGCUGCCCGGAGUCGCCUGAGAGGGCACAGAAGGCCUUCGCAACCACCUGUGGAGCUGUUGCAUGUAAAUAUUGCAAGAUCACCAACGAGUGGAGUGACAUCUCCGAAGUCGUUAGAAACAUGUGCAUCGCGGACGUUGCAAGGAGGUUCCAAGUCACUGACGAGUGGCGCGAGCGAUUCCUAGCGUCCAUCAACAUAGCAGGGCGGAAUGGUCUUGCUACUUGGAAAUGUACCGCUAGAAAGUGGAUGGACAAACCUUACGAGAUCAUCAAGAAGAAAUGGCUGUCGAUAACUGAUGAGGCCGAAUGGGAAAAAUUCAAGAAGGAAUCGUCUGACCCUGCCUUCAUUGCGAGGAGUGAACGUAUGAGGGCGUUGCGCGCGAGAAAGCCCUUGAACCACAGGCUAGGGAGUGCAGGGAAAGAGGGGAAGAAGAAGGUUUGGUGCAAGCAGGACCGAAUUCUCGAGGCGGCAGGCAGGGUGCCUCCAGUGCAUAACAUUCUGGAGGAUAACCGUGCUAGAGAAUAUGCACGUCAGCACAUGACACCAGAGGAGUGGGCGGGCAUUGAGCCAAUGCAGCCGCCUGUUAAAAGUUUUACGGUAAAGGUUCACGUGCAUUAAUUUGUUUUCGGCGUUAAUUAUGACACUCAGGAUCCAUAUAGACUCACGUCAUGUCUUAUAUGAUAACAGGAAAAUGCCCACAAAUGGGAGGAGAGCAAGAGGUUUGAAACAUCCGCCGACUCCGUGCAGAGCAAGAGGUGGGAGUCGGCUGUGACCGCUGGCUUGCAAAAGACGGAGCUCAUGGGCCGUGUUUUAGGGGAAGGCGAAGGGGCCUGCUGGGAUGAUUAUUUCCCGCCUGCUCCGAAGCGAAGCAGGGUCCCUGCUUCUGCUGAAAUAAUAGAACAAGCUAAGGCGGAGGCGCGAGAGCAGGCAUCUAUGGUGUGUCAAGAGGUGUCAAGAGAAUAUGCAGUGCAAGACGUCCAUCAUUUGGUGUCGGCAUUGGCCAAAGACCACCCCGCCCUUGACGCCAUACUCGGGGGAGGAGUGGAAGGUUUGAGGAACCGCUAGCAAACCAGACCCAAGCGAGGGCAUCCAGGAUAACGAUCCGGGUCCGAGAGACAACAUCCUUGUAAGCAUACUUUUCAAACUCUUUUUCACUCCUUACCUUCAUGAAUAAAGAUCUUACACACAUAUGCCUUGUUCUUGUUACGUGCAGGCACCAGUGAAGUGUCGUAUUCACGUAGACAAGCCUAGGAAGCCUGUAGGCGCCAUUGGCCGCCUGAUGCCCAGACAAUCACCGCCACUGGUGCACGACAUUCUUAUGAACGACACACAAGUGAGUGUGAUGGUGGACUCCGUCAUCGAGGAGCAUCGUGAUUAUGCUAUCCCGCUACCUCCAGAGGAAGGCGUGGAUAUCCUAGGCGGUUGUCCAAACUACCGCAUUAUGUGGCCUAGGAGCUUGGUAUCUCUCUACAACCAGCGCCAGUCCUCUAUGACUCCAUCUCCCUCCGCCCACAAAGGUACUUCUCAAUCACCGCUCAGCCUUUCCCCUAGGAUACUGCCUCCUGUCGAUGCUGGCGGAUAUGAAGAGCAGGCAAUGUCGAUGCCUCCACAGCUUAAAGAUAGCCAGACCACAGGGUCGGCACAGGCUAGAAGCGUCCCUCCUACCUUCUCUCUCUUGGGUGCCGCUGAGUCCAUAGGUGGCCGCAAGAUCGAUGACAAGUACAAGGCAGAGGAGCAAAAGGCAUGGGACAAUAAGAGGAGGCAUAAAAAGAGGGGGCACGGCGGCAAGACCAUCAAGGACUCCUCGAAUGUCAAUCAUGGUGAGAUGCACUAUGUGCCUGACAUAACUGGAGUGUGGGAAGACAAUAGGCCUGACAUUCUCAUGAAGAACCCCCGUCAAGGCCAGAGAUUCGAAGACGGAUCCUAUUUCGUGGCUAGGAAGUUUGACCGGGUGCUUAUUUACUAUCCUGGAAGACCGAUGCUCACCGAAGAUUUCCUGCGUGCCGUGUCCAGAGAGAUGCAAGAGCUUCAUCAGUUCUACAUGCAAGCAUCAGCUGGUUCUCAACAGCAUGCCCAACAAAUUAAUGUUCAAAUCCUACGAGACUAUGGCUUCUUUGACCAAGAAACCGGGAGCAUUCAGGAACGUCUUAUCACCUUUGGUGUGGAGUUCAACGAACUGUUCUACCUCUUCAACCACCAAAAGCUUGAUAUCAACCCUUUUAAGGCUGUGGUCUGCCUACCAAAUAAGAGAAAUGCGGUAAAUCGAGGUCAAAAAAGUAGCCAUUAUAGACCCCGCGGUUAACUACGGUGACAUCGGUCUUGAGCCAGAAAAGGAUCCCUCAAGAAUCCUGGCGUCUAAAUACUUGGUGGCAUGUCUGGAAAAAUACGCAGACCACGACUACCUCCUCUUCUUCCUUAAUUUGGAGUAAGUUGAAUUUUAUAUAUGAAACCGUUUGUUUUUCCUAAUUUAGUCUUUCUUAUACACCCUUAGAUACUAAAGUUUGUUUUUUUUGAAAACAGAGACCAUUGGGUGACACUACUCAUUUGUUUGCCUUGGUCCGCAAUGUACUAUUUCGAUUCACUACUUCCGAAGAAGAGUGUUCGAGGUCACUACUGGAAACCCAUCAAAUCACUCAUUAACACUGCCUGGAAAGUUGCGACCAAGGGAAAACUAGCUGGUAAAGGCUAUAAAGUCGAGCCUCACCACAACCACAGGUUCCCUUGCCAGCAACAGCCGGCCGACAGUGUGUACUGUGGCUACUACUGCUGUCACAUCCUUAUGGAGAAUGCCAGCAUGUUUAAGCCUGAGUGGAAGGGUCAAUCGCGGUGAUGGAAGAGUACUGGCGGCCCCGAAUGACAAUGGGACACCAACCUAAAUGGGUUGUGUAUAACAUUCAAAGGGAGUUCGCCCAUCUCAUCAACAAUGAGGUCAUCAAGCCUAGUGGGGACUUCUACGAACGCGUGGAACAAGUGGUGACUAGGGUUCACCCACAACAAUAGUUUCAAACUUGAUUUUGCUAUGAGAUUUUGACACUUUGUAAUCAAUGUCGUGCAGUUAGAUACAUUUGUAUUCUUUAUAUGCUUUAAAUGAUGCGGCUUUAUAUACAUUUGUAUGCUUUAAAUGAUGCGGCUUUAUAUACAUUUGUAUGCUUUAAAUGAUGCGGCUUUAUAUACAUUUGUAUGCUUUAAAUGAUGCAGCUAUGUAUUUUUCUGUGCUGAGCAGUGUAUUCAAAUAUAUAUUUUUCUGUGGUUUUAAUUAAUUUUUUUAUUACUGAAAAUGUAUUAGUGUCGGUCGCUCGUCCGACACUGAUAUGGCAAAGUGACCGUUACUGAUGUACAUAUCAUCAGUGACGGGCGCGGAAACGUGACCGUCACUGAUGAUGGUCUUCAUCAGUAACGGUCGGGUCAGGCCGCCCGCCACUGAUGAUGGUACAUCAGUAAGGACGCAGCGACCGUUACUGAUGAUAGGUACAUCAGUAACGAUUGGAGCGACCGUUGCUGAUGAUACCCAUCAUCAAUAAAAGGAAGUUAGUAACGGAGGCCCCGACCGUUACUGAUGUUGUUUUCGUUACUGAUAAGUCUUUCUGUAGUAGUGUUGUCUUGUACUCCAAAUCUAUCUCCUCCUUUGUACCUCUAUAUAUACCCCAUAUGAAGAUCAGAUCAAUAACAAUAUCGAUUAUUGUGGAAUACCAAUUAGACUUUCAAUCUCAUAUUUCUACAUGGUAUCAGAACGGUUAGACUAACAUCACCAACUCUUGACACACAGCUUCCGCAUCAUGCCGCGUCCGGGGAGAUCGAUGGCUCCCAUAGUUUCCCCUCCGAUCAUCAUACCUGAGAUCGGUUAUUAAAUUAGAUGAGUUUCCAAUCAUAGAUUGAUUUCCUUAGCCAAAUAAAGUCUUUCAGAUCUAUCCACGACCCUCGAUCAGUGACAACAAAUCGAUGCAGAUCGAUGUGCAUACACCUGUGCUAUAUGCCUCCAGUGCUCCACGUCCUCGGCAGGCGUCCGCAAUCGCACCGGCCAUGCCCGGCACACGCACACCAGCAGCAUCGACCGGACUCCACGCGGUGCGAUGCACAGCGACGGCUUCUCCAAGCGACCAUGCAGCCCUGCCGAUCAGGCCGGGGAGGACGGAUCUGUGUCGAACUCACGAGCCCGAACAUGCAUACGUAUACGUACGUGCAAUCUUGCAUGCAGCCAGCAGGCCGGAGCCCUCCUCACAUGCUGCAUGGCAACACGAUCAUCAAUCCUUGAAGCCGGUUACAAGCAACAGCGACGCCACCAAGCGGAGUAUCGGUCUCCUAUGCGCCUGCACGGCCAACGACCAGAUCUGGCCAACUACGCGAGCCGGCCGGUGUCUACGACGAGCAUCUGCACCAGCGGCAACCACGACAUCUACGAGCACACGAACGACUGCACCGACACAACGCCGAGCUGUACGACUACAUCAGCCCAGCUACAGUUACCUCUUCGUCGAGUACAUCUACGAGAAGCACAUGCAUGCACCAUCCACACGACAGGCCGGUGUGGAACGACAUGCAAUCAUCAACUUCUCAGGCACGACAUGGCGUCGACACAUCGUCGCCACAAGGGACGCCUUCAAGCGACGCACCAUCAUCGACAAGCCUGCAAUAGCCACGCCGACACUCCAUCGCCAAAGGUCUUCAUCAAUGUGGUCUCCAUCAACAAUCUUCGUCAACUAGCCGCCGCCACGUCCACACGGAUGGACAUCUCCCGCGUCCUCUGACAGUUCAACUGCAAGACGCAUCAGCAAUGACGGCAUACCCGCGUUAGCUUCAUCGGCGAUGGCAUCCCCGCGUCAGCGACACCGACGCUGGCUUGACCGCGUCCGACGUAGAGCAACUGCAUCGACACCGGCAUCACUACCUACACGGUGCACACGGUUCUGGCAAAACCGUUGUGUGCGGUGGGCUACCUCCAAUUUUGGCAAAAUUGGUGGUCUCACCUACGACCGCGUCCUCUGACAUCCGCAAGACGCCCUCGAAGGUACCUCUCAAGGUGCAAAACGUCGGCCCCGACGGUACCAUGUGACUUCCACAAGGUGCAAAACAUCCCUGAUUGCAGCUCCGUCAUACACAUCGCGCUUUUUUUUUGCGCCUUCGGUUAUUUGCGGGUCCAUCCACUUCGACGACGACUACUACCUCGACCACGGCUACAUCAUGAUCGGCUACCUCGACAUCGACAUCAAGGGCUACGACGUCUACAGCGACUCAUCGGCAACAACUCCAGUCAAAGCAUCCGCGUCGUCACUAGCGUCCACGACACUCCCGCUAUGACUGCGGGAGGGAAUAGAGGAGAGACAAGGGACGGCACCAGAAGGGGACGGUAGGCACCGCUCCAGGUGACGGACCAGUCCAUUAGAGACGCAGUUGAUGAUGGCGAAACGGAGAAGACGACGGAAGCACAAGACUUUAAAUCCAAUCACAAUCGUCCGCUUUGCUCCCGCUACGACUGAGGGGGAAUGUUAGAGAUAUAAUACGGUUGGGAUUAGAGAUAAGAUAGAAUUAGUUUAAGCGAGAUUACUUCCCUUGUACUCCAAGCCUAUCUCCCCCUUUGUACCUCUAUAUAUACCCCCCCCCCCCAUAUGAGCAUAUGAGGGUCAGAUCAAUAACAACAUCAAUAUUGUGGAAUACCAAUUAGGCUUCCAAUCUCGUAUUUCUACAUGCCAUCAUCAACUGCGUCUCUAAUGGACUGGUCCGUCACAUAGGGUGGUGCCUACUGUCCCCUUCUGGUGCCGUCCCCUGUCUCUCCUCUUUUCACUUGAUGUGUACCUCUUCGAUCGGGGCCACAACGUUGGCCUCCCAACGAUGCGUGCCAUUGCGGUGGGUGUUGCGAGGGGCCUCCGAUACCUCCACAAGGAGUGCCAACAGAAGAUUGUGCACUACGACAUCAAGCCCGGAAACGUGCUCCUCGACGGCAGUCUCACCCCGAAGGUGGCCGAUUUCGGACUCGCACAAGUGUUGAAUCGGGCUGACACGCACAAGACUAUAUCUGGGAUGCGCGGCACCCCAGGGUACGCCGCACACGCACAAGACUAUAUCUGGGAUGCGCGGCACCCCAAGGUACGCCGCACCGGAGAUGUGGAUGCAGGCUGGCACCACGGAGAAGUGUGACGUGUAUAGCUUUAGCAUCCUUCUGUUCGAGAUCCUCGCCAGAAGGAGGAACUUCAACGAGGCUGCGCCUGAGAGCCAGCAGUGGUUCCCCAAGCUGGCUUGGACCAAGUACGAGAGCGGUGAGCUUAUGGAGAUCGUGGAGAGUUGUGGGAGCAUCAACGAGAAAGAUAAAGAGACGGCGGAGAGGAUGUGCAAAGUGGCGUUCUGGUGUGUGCAACAACAGCCAGAGGUGAGGCCGCCAAUGGGUGUGGUGGUGAAGAUGCUCGAGGGCGAGAUGGACAUAGCUCAACCGACCAAUCCAUUCCACCAUCUCAUGGCGGUGCCAGUGGCUGCAAACUUCUGGACUAGCAGCGAGAAUAGCCUAAACUUGGCGAAUUCUAUGCUGGCAGCUAGGGUUUCUCAUGGUAGCAACGACGAGAUCAUCUCGGAGCGGUCUACCAAUACUCACCAGUACUAGUGGAGUGCCCGUGCGUUGAGUACGGACUGACAAAUUCAUGUGCGAUGCUUAACUGCUUAAGAAUAAGCAAAAAAUAUAAUAAUAUGUACAAAAAUAUAAUAAGCAAUUAAGCAUAAAAACAAAUUAAAUGAAGUCAUCAUGGGUGACGAAGUUCCUAUUAGACGGCGGAUCGAGCGUAGCUCGGGCUGAUGAUGAAGUUCCAGCGAGACAGUGGGUCAGGUUGAGCUAAGAUGUCGUAGAAUUUCUAACUAAAAUUUGCCGCGACGGUAAUGACGUUAAGAUACCCAAACAUAUUUGCCAUUAGCCUACCAUCUUUCAUCACCUGUAUAGUCAACAAUCCAAGCAAUAUGGCAACAAAAUUAGAAGAUUAUUUCCUAAUGUAAUAAUUAUGAGCAAUAAUAAACUUUCAGUUAAUGUGACCAAGCUUGCUUCCGGUCUGAGUCAGAGGGGCUAACACACUCCUGACAACACCUAACUUCGGAACCUCUUCCCUUUCUUACCCGUGUUUGAGGAUUGAGCAGAACACACAGUUUUCCAAGUUUUCCAAUAACUAACAGCCCUCACAAAUGUUCCAAUAACUAACAGCCUCAUUUUCUUACCCUAAAAAAAACAGCCUCACUUUCCUAAGAGCAAAAUACACAAGUAUCUACUAAUUCUGGACUGGAUCAGAUUGAGAAAACAAAUACUGCACUGGAUAAGCUAGCAAAAUACACAAGUAUCUACUAAAUCGUGUAGUAUAUAUGAGUGUAAUUUCAAGUUCCAAGAGUGCAGUACAUUGUAUACAAUUAUCCAGAAUAAAGAGCAGAGAUUCAAUCAGAUGACCCAUAAUUUCAUGAUUUAACUCUACUAAUUUUCUGCUGUACAACUUCAGUUGCCUAUAGACUCGCUUCAAUCAGAAAGAAGAGCAGAUGAAUAAAUUACAGAAGGAAUGCUCUGAAAGUGAAAAGGCACACAACAAUGAGGUACCACUGAUUGGAUGAGGCACCGGUGCUGGAGCUACCAGUGAUUAAGAGCGCUACUGCCCACGGUGCUGCUCCUGGCACCUUCUGAUCACUGGUCACCUCGGGCACGAAAGAGAGCGAGCCUGCGACACCCAACACCUGCCGGCCGCCGUACCCGCGCGGGGGAGGGAUUUUAAAGUACCUAGAGCACGACGAAACGCGGUCCUGACAUGAGAACAUAGUAAAAAGAAAAAUACCCUUAGCAAGAUGAACCAGAGAUUACAAAUUUACACUUGCUGGAAAAAUUCCGGAGAUCAUGACAUGAGAACAUAGUAAAUAUUGCUUUUGUGGUGCGUUCUCGGAGUACCUUUCUGAGGGUAUGAGAGUAGAACAUGAGUCUCUUAAUGUCAGCUACCUGCACAGCGAGAUUAUGAGAACAGAAAAUAAUUGGAUGUCUUCAAGUUAACUGUCAAGCAUUGGUUCCCAGAGAAAAGCACUGAGACGCUACAUAAAUAUAGAGUUGAUUCCACUCAGGGAAUGCCAAUCCAAAUUGGCAUAGAAAAUGAAAUUGGCAUAUAGUUCAUAGCAACUCGCACAACGAUAUAGAAAUUUACAGGUAAAGCAAACUACAGGAAACUGCCACUCUUCUACCAAGCCAUGAAAUUUACUACAUUACAGAACUGGCAGACAUUCUUGAUAGAGAAGUUAUCACCUCAACCAGUGGCUUCUUUCCAUGAAGUAGCAUAUCCACACUCCUCUCAGUCUGCACAAGAGAGACACACCAUAUAUUAGCAUUCAUCGCAGGUUGAGAAAAGAAAAGUACAUUUCAUUUUUCUUGUAAACAAAGGUGAGCAGAUUACAUUCAGGUAAUAUAUCCUGAGUUCUGACAAUAUUCUUGGUAAAAUAGCAGAGCAACAAUAGGAGAAGCAAAUAAUUUUCAGAUAAUUCCUCAAGGAUGAUAUAUAACAAAAGGCGAGCUUAGAAAAGAUAAGCAUUAUCGCAAACGGCAUUACCGCACUAUAUUAGCAAAUUUGGUCCAGCAAAAGAUUCCCCUUUAAAAACUAACACCUCCUCAUCUGUUUGACUUGAAGGUAUUGCAAGUGAUUACUAUAAGACAGACUACAAGGAUCAGUACAGAUUAGAACAUUUGAAGCAAAACCAUGAGUUGAGAUAGAUAUCAGCAGUAUGAAAAUUUGAUGCCCGUGUAGAUCCCUAUUAAUUUGUACCCUUUCCACAGAAUCCCAGUAACACAUUCAUCGUAAUCUUAAAAUGACAAGAUAUAUCACUGUGCAAACCUGAUACUUCUACACGGUUUCGGCCUAAAAUUUUAGACCUGAACGCCCUUGACCAUGUUAACACAAAGCUGAAAAGAUACAUACUUGAUACUUGUCCACAUUGACCAUUUGACAUAUAUAUUCAUACCCGUUGAGUCACCCAAUAGUGUCGCUCCCUCACCUCAAUAAGGAAAGGGAACGUUGGAUAGGUAGUGCACUCCACCACCUAUCUAGAGAUUUCAGAUCUUGUGAAUCAACACCCAUUUGAAGAUAGUACCUAAUUCAUGCAUCAAUUAUGCAUUACAUUAGAAGCUGGUGAAAUAUCUUUAUCAGAUCUUGGCCUCAUUUGAAGAAAAUAUAAAAUAAAGAGUUCUAAAAAUAAUCAGUGGAUUACAGAUGGAAAUAGAAGAAAAACUAAGGUGACAGUACCUGAAUCCUGCAAGCAACAUCUCCCUACAAAUUUAAACUGAAUUGGAAAGACAGAGUAAGAUUCAGUUGCAAAACAUUAGACCAUGCUCUUCUAGUGGUUACCUGCAAGUGCAAAGAAUAACUUGAUUAGUGUAUUAGGCCCACAUAAAUUGGACUCAACUAAAAUCGUUUUCCUAGAACUUGAAGAACAUUGAAAAAGAGAUCUAGAACGCUGAAACAGAAAUCUUGACACACAUAAACUAUAUUUUAUUAUUUGUACUUAUAUAUAGUUCUAGGCAAAAAUCCUCUAAUUUAGGCUAAAGCAUUACAUACAAGCAAGUAUCGGUAGCUUAAUGAAGGAUAAGUAUGCGGCAAUGAUUGCAUCAUAUGUUGUUACUACCAUCAUUCCCGAACAAUGCAGAACUAACUAAAAAUAAUUGGACUGUCAAAGCUUAUAACAUUUUUGAACGAUAAUAAAAGAUUAAACAUCAGUGAACACAUCAUAUGCAAGGCCAAAGCUUAAUGAAAGAUAACACUGCAACUGUUCGUAAAAUGGACACUGAGAUAAUCUUUUGCUUGAAGAAUCAGACAUCAUGGACGUACUGUUCAGAAAAUUUAUUUCAGAUUCAAAAUGUAUCAUCUAAAAGACUUACAUUAUGUGAUCCACAAGUUUCACGGACUGUUGGGACGCAAGGUAUCAACAAGAAAUUUAGAAUAGUUACUGAAUGUCUGAAUAUAAACAAACUCUAACAAAAAGACAGGCACACAUACCCCAAUUAUCUGUUCUCCACAGAGGUUGUGCUUGUCAGUGCCCCAAACGGGCUCGGUGAGAGUUUUGGGAGGGGACCUGAACCCGUAUGUGGUGUUGGGAAUGGCGACGCAAGCGGAGGUGAGCAGCGCGGAGGACGACCAGCCGGAUUCUGAAUCUUCUGGCGGCGGUCGAGACAAACCGAAGUGGAGAUCGCGAUUCGCUGCAUCAGCCAGCAAAGAGGAGAGUGAUCGAGGGGAUGUGUCGGAUGAGGAGGCGUGCUGGGGAAGGAUAUGCAGGUGGCGGUGGCCGGGGGCAAGGCGGUUGCGGGCGGAGGUGAUGGGGAACGGCGAUGAGGUACCGAUUUGGGGUCAAUCCGGGAUAGGCCGGGGAGGAGCUCCGGUGGGGUGGAGGGGUCGUGCAGAACUAUACAUCGUAGGAGGGCUGACGGCAAGAUGGGCGGGUGAGCAGUUGCGGGGGCUUGUUUCUGAUCGGGUGGGUAGGGCAGCGGAGUAGCUACGGAAGCGGCGGCGUGCGACGGCGGCAGAACUCUGAGGCGUGCUGAGUGGGGAGGAGGAGAACUGGGAAGCGGCGGCGGCAGCGGAUGCGGAGGCGCGGGUUCGGAAGAGGAGAACGGGGAUGUGUAUAGGCGGCAGAGAGGAGGUGUGGCCGCAAAGUAUCGGGAAGGCCGGACGGCGACUUCGUGCUGGAAAGGAUGUUAGAGGGCGGCGGCGGCAGCGGCGGAGGCGAGGAAGGGCGGCGGCGGAGGCGGGGAAAAUCCUAUCAGGAGAGAGAUGCGAGCGAAGGGCAGGUAGCGACGGGGAUCCGGGUUUUUUCUCCUUUUCGAUUUUCUCGCGCGUGGUUCGGGGUAGGACGGACCAAAGUAAAAUGAAGAUAAAGAUACCUAUACAAAAAUAAAGAUAAAGAUACCUAAGCAAACCCGGACCGGGCUUCAUAAAGCCCGACGGGAAAACCUCAAACCCGAGCCCGGCCCGGCCCGAAGCCCGACAAAAGGACCAUUUUAGCAUUAAAGUAAUUGUUUUGGAAAUAAAUAAAUAAUUUUUUAUACAUAUUUUUUCUAAAAAAUACCCGUUUUUAUUCAUUUCGGGCUUUCGGGCCGGGCUUGGGAACUAGAAAGUGAAGCCCGAGCCCGGCCCGGGACGUUGGGCUUCGGGCCGGGCCACGCCACGUAUGCCCAAGUAUACUCACUGGUAAGGGCAAGUGCAUUAAUAGAAAGGCAUGUUUCACAUCUUGAUGUUGCAUUAAAAAUACUGGUUGUCAUAGCUAUCUACGCUAUAUUUUCCAUCUAAUUGAAUAAAAUGUCACAUAUCACCACUCAUUCCUUUUCUCAAUACACGGUGCAUUAGAUUUCAAAGAGAAGGUUUUGGCAAAUGAUUACUUCAUUAACAUGUGAAAGCAAACCAUAGGAUUUUGUUGUUCCGAAAUAUUUCCAUGCUAAUUCAGAAGAAUCGUGUAGGAAAUUGAAAACAGAGAGAGUUUAUUUUACUGUGUUGAAUAGAGAGAGUUUUUUUUUAGCGAGAAUAGAGAGAGUUAAUUCCAUGGGAAGCACAAACGUUUGUUCGGCCACAUUCUUCCUGGGCUUUGGCCCAUCUAACAAGCCAGGCCUGCAGCGUAGCGGCCUUUCCUCGUUCGCCUCUGCCAUAUUUCACGAGCACACACGCAGCGCCGCUCGCCGGUGCAAAUGGACGCUUGUUUGGCUAAAAAAAAAAAUGGACGCUCGAAAUUCCUCUCCCUCGACCCUUUAUAGCAUCAUCAGAAGAUGGCAAGACGCUAGUUCAGCAGAAAAUGGGCCUAGCUAGGAUGAUCGAGGCUUGUUUGUUAGCAUCACCAGAAGAUGGCGAGUCCCAUGGGUUGGGCACAUUUCCAGACAUCUGUUCAAGCCGAUUUGGGAGUGAAUGAACGAAUGAAAUAAAGCAAAUCUUACUAGGUUCAGGCUGCAUCUAUACUCAGACAUGUUGAUAGCUGAUGAAUAUAUAGGAGCACUCGUUCAACAAGGUGAAGAUAAAGAUAAGAUAGGUGUACGGAAACAUUGCUCAGAAAGAAACACAUCUUAUAUAGUAGGAGCGUUAAUUCACCUAGGCGAAGAUAUAAAAGAAAAAUAAUAUUUCCUCCGACCGGUAUUAUUUGUCUCAAAUUUGCUCAAAUACGGAUGUAUUUAUGUGUAAAACGCAUCUAGAUACAUGUAAUAUUUCGACAAGUAAUUCCGGCAGCAGGGGUACUGAAAUCUUGCACUCGCAUGUCAUAGUGUUGACGAGUAGAUACGGUGGAUUUCCUCAUGUUACCAUACAUCAAGAUGAUACGCAAAAUCCCAUGAAAUCCCAUGAUCAUGAGAUCUCUGUCUCUCUAACCCAAAAGGUCUACGGAACAAAACUCUUCUUUUAUGAUGCGCAAAAUCCACAGUGUCACAUCAACAAACACGACGAAAGAGAAAAACACAGCGAACUUCAACUGACAACACCCGGAGAUAUUGAGAAAGUCCUUCAAUGCAACGCCUUCAAAAAUAGAUCCAACCAUUGGAUCAGGUCAGGGAUUUUUACCUCAUUCAGCAGGUUCGACUAACUUCAAAAAUUGCCUUCAAGGAAGUAAAACACGCGUUCACGGCCGUUGUCAUUUCCAACCAAUUAUUAAGAUCAGACCUGGGAAUUUCUUUUACAAGCGAUACUUGACGACCAGUCAUCGCCAUUCCUCUCAGUCUUGACAAACAGCGGUAGGACACGAACUCAAUCAAAGGUCCCGGCACAGCCCAGAGAGGACAUCCCAAUGGACAAAUCGACACUGCAAGUUAUGCAUGAUAUAUAUCGACCCAACCGUCAGUGCCAACAUGAGAUUUUGAUUUUGUCUUCUAUAUUAUUGCACAUCUCCUUAAGUACAAUCAGAUGCAAAGUGUUGAAGCUAAACGAUCUCAUUGCUACCAUGAUGAACACCAUUUACCGAUGCUGACACCGUGUUUACACUGCUCGUCACGGUAGUCCACAGGUUUGCUGCCACCGGCGCCGCCAUGAGAUGCAGGAACGGGUUCGCCGGUUCAGUUAUGUCCAUCUCGCCCUCGAGCAUCUUCACCACCGUGCUCAUGGGCGGCCUUGCCUCCGGCUGCUGCUGCACGCACCAGAACGCCACCAUGCACAUCCUCUCCACCGUCUGCUUGUCCUGCUGAUCGCCCAUGAUCUCCAUAAGUUCCCCGCUCUCGUACUUAAUCCACACCAUCUUGGGGAACCACUGUUGGCUCUCGGGCGCUGCUUCGUCGAAGUUCCUCCUCCGGCCGAUGAUCUCAAACAAGAGGAUGCCGAAGCUGUACACGUCGCACUUUUCGGUGGCGCCGGCUUGCAUCCACAUCUCUGGUGCGGCAUAACCGGGGGUGCCACGCAUCCCAGAGACGGUCUUGUGCGUGUCAGCCCGGUUCAGUAGCUGUGCAAGCCCAAAGUCGGCCACCUUGGGCGUGAGGCUGCCGUCGAGGAGCACGUUGCCAGGCUUAAUGUCGUAGUGCACGAUCUUCUGCUGGCACUCCUCGUGGAGGUACCGGAGGCCCCUAGCCACGCCAACAGCGAUAGCGCGCAGCGUCGGGAAGCCGAUACCACGGUUCCGAUCAUCGAAGAGGUAGGCGUCGAGCGCGCCGUGCUCCAUGUACUCGUACACCAGUGCGCGCACGCCAUGGGUGGCAGAGUCGAAACAGAAGCCAAAGAGCCUGACAAGGUUGAUGUGGUGGGUCCUCCCGAUGGUGCCGACCUCCGCCAUGAACUGGUCCUGGGAGGUCCGGUCAUCGUGGGUGGUGUGGAGCCGCUUCACGGCGACCAUGAGACCGUUGGGUAGCAUGCCCUUGUACACGGUGCCGAACCCGCCGGCGCCGAGCCGGGCCGAGUAGUUGUUGGUGAAACCAGAGAGUUGCUCCGGGGUGAAUCGAAUGGGCUUCUCGCCCGCGAUCUCCUUGAGAAACCUCUCGACGGUAGCCUCCCGUAUCUGAGAGUCCGGCACCACCGCGUACAUAGCCGAUGCCGUCGACGAUGAUGAUGCCGCGGCAGCGGUCGUGUUGAUGUUGAUGGCGGGGAGGCCGUUCUUCUUGACGCACCUGUACACGAAGUAGACUAUGGCGACGGUCCCCAGGAUGCUCAACACCCCAAAAACUGCAUGUCGAAAUUCAGGUAAACAUGCGCAAAACAAAACAAAAAUUGCUCUUGAAAUACGAUUUAAUGGCUGGGACUUGUGCGCUCACCGACGGAGAUGACGAGGAAGUUGUUGAAGGUGCUGGAGGCUUGUUUGCCGAGAUCGUCGUUGGGAGACGAGGUUGGGAAAUUGUUGGAGUCCCCAGGCUGGAAAUUAGACGACAUUGUUGACGAAAUUAAUUGGUUUGGGAAAUGAAACGGCCGGCUGGAUAUCGAUCGUUUAAUUAACUAGCCUGCAGAACGCCAAUCUCUACUCGAUCGUUGUAUAUGUAGCAGGAUCCAUCCACCCACAAGAAAAAUUAAUGUGGAGAAGCACGCAGUCCACGUACUCCGGUCAGUCAACACUUCAAUAUUAUCCGGCACGGCAGAUUAAUUGACCGGCUGUGUGGACUUAAUCCUAGGCGAGGGACAGUUGACUUGCUGUCAGCUAGUCCAUGCCAAUUACUGAUACGUACAGUACUUCCUAAAGACGCUGCUGACCGCUGACCAUCCUGAUCGAUCCGGCUCGGCUCUCCGUCCAGUCGAAUACUCCCGCCAUCUCAUAUUAAAUGAUUUUCUAUUACAUGUAUUUAGACAUAUUUUAGUAUAUAUAGAUACGUCCAUAUUUAAACAAACUUGAGUCACUUAAUAUGGGACGGAGGAAGUAAUUAUUAGUAAGUACGGGGACGUGUAAAAUGGACUGAUGUCAGUCUUUUCUUAACGAUGCCAUGUUGGAUAAAAUCUGAUGUGGAAGAGAAAUGAACGAAGGAAAUACAUAUGCAUUCUCUUAAUUAAGAGAUGAUCUCUUCACAAGAAGGAUAAGGCAAAGAUAAAACAAAAAUUUCAUCUUUUCUUAACCUUUAUUUUGUUAAUUUUAUUCAUCUAAUCAUUAAUCGUAAGAUAUGCACUAAGAGAUAACAUAUCGUACAACAUAUUUUGUUGUCUUCUUAUAAGGUAGUUUUAUCAAGCACUGUGCAUGCCCGGCCUUAGUCGUUUACCCAAACCCAACCAAUUAACUUUGAGAAACCCAUUCAGAGAUAAGAGUAAAUUUCAGAAAAUAACAGCUUUUUUUGGGCAUACAUAGUUUUUAGGGCCAUUUGUGUCAAGUAGUUUUUCCGGGUAUGCCGGGAAUAAUUAUUCAGCGCAGUCGCGUCGUUAAAGCACACUUAACGAAAAAAUUCUCCACAAAACCAUAGGAGCAGACAUUUUUCAGUGUGUGCGCGCGCGGGGGAGCUAGCUAGCUAGCAGUCAUCUCUGCAUUCAACAAGGCGAAGAUUAGCUAGCUUGACAGCUUCCAGGAAAGAACGGGGAUGGUCAAGGAGACGUAGCAAGACCCUCACACUCACAUGUCAUAGUUGACGAGGAGAUACGGUACUGGGUAGAGGCCCGGCCGGCAAGCAUAAAAUAGCUACAUCAACCGGGUCUUCUCCGCGAUUUCCAUUUGUUGGUCGCACCACUGCGUGCCAGGUAAUAUGAGGACAGGGAUGCUUUUGGAGCUCAGGCUCAUUGGAGUGCGAUAUUUUUAAAAAAUAAAUAAAUAAAUCAUAUUUCUAAGUUUUAAAGGAUCCUGAUUUUCUGUAAACAUAGAUGUAUACUAUGUACCUGUAAAUAUUCAUCAAGAAAUACGUUAAUUUGUGAUCUGCCAAAAAAAAUCACAAAUCUGUAAAUUCUACACAUUACAAUUCUAGAUCUACAUAUUUGCGACUUUUGCAUAGAGCGCGAAGUAUACAUCUAUAUAUAUUUACAUUGGAAAACAAUCAUUUUUUGUUAAACUACAAUAUUAUUUUUAUUAAGUUUUAAUAAAGGGCUCGGCGUAAACCGGGAGCUAAAACACCAUGUUUGACAAGGAUAGACUUUUUGAGAGUCUUGUGUUCCGGACCCUAGGACAAUGUUCCUACAUACUGGGAGUAUCACGCAAAAAUCACCCAUAUGAUCGAAGCCGGGGGAAAUACUGAAAGUUUCAGAUUUUUGUUAAAUAAAAAUAAUAGUUUGGUUGGAGGGGUGAAAUACUGAAAUCCUAUAAACAUGCUGUGUCUCCCCUUUUUGAAAAAAAAAACACUCACAUUCAUUUGAGAGGUUCGUAAAAAUACCAAAUUCAGCAAUGAAUAGCCUUCCAAGAAGGCUACGACCUCUGCUCCAAAUUAUAAGAAGUUUGGGAGGCUAAGCGUGCCGUCACUGGAUGUACACCACCCAAAGAAAAGAAAAUGUAGCAGUCCACGCUAGCAAUCAAAACGGCAAAAUUAGUUAAGAUCCUUGAAGAGAAAUGUCAGGCGAACAAGGCGACCUAGUCGACACUCAAAAUUUUCUUUUUGAUCUGGGAAAGCAACCUCCAUUACUUCAGUAGGAAGUUACUACCAACUUCAUUAUUUUACAGGAGAUUCCAUCACAUGGAUACCUGCAGUCACUGAACAUGAUAGGACAGCACCGGAUCCGGCAGAUAAGAUCUUGGAAAGAUGGUGCGCCUCCAAGGGACAGGGAGAUUGUGCAGAAGCGCCACGAUCAUUCGAUCCGGGAAAACCGGGGUCCGUCCGAUGUUUUCCUCCCGACUCCAGGCUUCAGUUUGCGGCCGAGCUUGCAUCGUUUCCCACUUCUGUCUACUCGAUCCGAACGAGUGAACGACGGUAGCAGCGACAUCUUCCUCUUCAGCUCUGCUUCAUCUUCUUGAACACAUGUCAAUUGCUUGAUUGGAUAUGUGUUGGCAGAUUUUGAUCCCAAAUGGUCGUACAUUUGUUUGUGCCGAGAGCUGUUUGUAUUGCAUUCACUGUUUGUAUUGUAAAUGGCCAAUCAAGCAAACUUGGUAUAUGGAUUUCUAUUUAUGAUCACGUGAUUGUUGAUGAUGAAAUGUGCAAAAAAGUCAAACAAUCAUGUUGAAAUGAGUAGGUAAGCUCGCCAUGUAGGUAACCACAAUCUUGGGCAAUGCAAAUCUAUCAACCAAACACGAAAUGGGUUCGUCCUGCCCAUUUUGACUCAGCCAACCAAAUACGAAUUCGACUCACACCCAUCUCAACCAAACACUCACCUUGAAUGGCUCCACCCCUAAAUCCGGUUGGCCGCAACCCAUCCAAUUUCAUCCAUCAACCAAACACACCCUAAACCGGAUGGGAAUUCGAAUCAGUUUCCUAAAAACUUUUAAAUUUUAAGAAAGACUUUCAGUUUGUUGAAAAAGAGCGAACUUCUAAAAUUGUGGAUGAGCGUUCAACAAAUGUUGACAAACUUUUGGACUUUCAGAAACGAACAUUCUAUUAUUUUGACAAACUUUCAAAAUUUCUGGAUGAACCUUCCAAUUGUUUUUGACAAACUUUUAAAAAUUCAGAUAAACUUUUAUUUUUUAAAAAUUGACUUCCUUUUUUCUACCGACUUCCAAAUUUUAGAGAUAAUUGUUUCUAGCUAAGUUUUUUGCAUCCUGAUGUGCUGGCCUUGGCUUGCUUAGCGUAAAGGCUGAUUAGCGUGAAGCACGUUUCGUCCGCACGGCGCAAAGCUUCGAGCAAAAAGUUCUUCCGUUCAUUUAAAAAAUAAAUCAAAACACUAAACCCUUACACUCGUAUCUCAAAAGUUGACGAGGAGAUACGGUCUUGUCCUUUGACGAGGAGUACACCAUGGUUGGAUCAACCAAUAGAAGGACAUUGAGAAUGGUCGUUCAAUGCAAUGCCUUAAAAAAAUGGGAUGAUGGGCCUGCGUCACAGUUGGUAGAUCCAACUAUUGGGCUAACCUAUAAAAAAACUAUUGGGCCAGGCUAGGGAUUUUACAAAAAAAAAUCUUUUUCGAAAGGGCAGACAUCCAUUUCCAUUGCAGAGUUGUUAUAAGUUAGAGAUCGUGUAAACAAAUAUAAGCCGGCCGAAAAGAUCAAAUAAAGCGAGUCUAGACAACUAAGCGUCUAGUACACCGGCAGCUGAACAGGAUCGAAAAUCUCCAAAUAAUACCUGAACAAGGAAGUAACAGACUAAUACGCAUUAACGACCAUUGUUAUGUCCAAGCAAUUCAGACCACAUCUGGGCUUUCACACAGGUACAUGAACGACACAACCAAACUGAUGUCCUCCCUGUGCUUUCACGCCAGCUUGAUCAGUGUCUUGUCUUAAUCACCAACAUAUGCAAAGUGUUCAAGCUAAGCGAUCCCGUCGCUACCACGAUAAACACCAUUUACCGAUGCUGAAACAGUGUUUAUGCUACUCGUCCCGGAGGUCCACAGGUUUGCUGCCAUCGGCGCCGUCAUGAGAUGCAGGAACGGGUUCGCUGGCUCGGCAACGUCAAUCUCUCCCUCGAGCAUCUUCACCACCGCGCCCAUCGGCAGCCUCGCCUCUGGCUGCGAGCUCUUUUACCGUACACCGAAUUUAAUACAGACCGUUUAUUUGUCCCGAUCCAAUGAUCGGUAUAAUUUGGCACUCCACGGUUGAUUCUAUGAAGUACCGGGUCAAAAAUUACUGGAGUUCCUUGAUUUGGAGGGUAAAAUAGUAAUUUGGGGAGGAUAUUUUAAUCUGUCUCGUCCUAACCUGAAUCGUUACUUUCACUUUCCAAUAAAAAAGACAAAUGAUUCAGCUUUGACCUAACCCCGCCGCCGCUUGACUGGCCUGCCACACCGGCGUAGCGGACGAAGGUGCGGAUGAAGCAUAAGCGGCACUGCCGAGCUCCUUCAUGCAUGCAACGGAUAAUGCGGUGCCGCCACCCACCCUUGCAAAUGAUCCUAGGCUAAUUAAGUUGGUUUGCUCUCUCGAGGGUUGAUUCGGUGUAGUGGAUAGUAGUUUUGAUCUCUUUUUUUAUAGAACUCGAUCGAACCAUGAGCAAAUUCGAUUCAACUGCCCAGAUGUGGAUGCAUUAUUUGGGAUGUGCAGAGAGAACCGCUAGGAACCCAAUUUGUGCCAUGAUUGAUUCAGCUAAUUAAACACUACACGAUUAAUCAAAUAAGCCAAUCAAGGUGCCUAGCUAGCUUUGAACAGAUCAGGUUGUUGAUGGCAUGUUGAAGGAGGCGCCCGAGAUGCCAGACUCCAGACGCCUAGGAUGAGACGGGUGACAUGCAUUACGACGGAGGAUCGCCGUCCGUCCAUGGUGACGAAGGACGAGGAAGUAGUGUGCUACCAGGAUACCGGAGUAGAUUAAGAUAAAACAUAAUAUUACUCAUAAAUUAGCAAAAGAAAUCGACCAAUUUACCCUUCAAUUGGACGGUCAGAUUUACUUGGUACUCCAGCCUCUAGUCAAGGAGUACCAGGGUACCGUAAAAUUCCUCCCGGCUGCUGCUGCACGCACCAAAAUGCCGCCUUGCACAUCCUCUCUGCUGUCUCCUUGUCCUGCUCGCCCAAGAUCUCCAUAAGCUCGCCGUUCUCGUACUUGAUCCAUGCCAUCUUAGGGAACCACUGCUGGCUCUCUGGCACGGCCUCGUUGAAGUUCCACCUCUGUCCGAUGAUCUCAAACAAGAGGAUGCCGAAGCUGUACACGUCACACUUCUCGGUGGUGCCGGCCUGCAUCCACAUCUCAGGCGUGGCGUACCCGGGGGUGCCACGCAUCCCCGAGACGGCCUAGUGUGUGUCGGCCCGGUUUAGCAGCCGUGCGAGCCCGAAGUUAGCCACCUUGGGUGUGAGACCACCGUCGAGGAGCACGUUACCAGGCUUGAUGUCAUAGUGCACGAUCUUCUGCUGGCACUCCUCGUGGAGGUAUCGAAGGCCCCCUGGCCACGCCAAUGGCGAUGGCGCGCAACUCCGGGAAGCCGAUGCCGCAUCUUCGGUCAUCAAAAAGGUAGGCGUCGAGUGCACCAUGCUCCAUGUACUCGUACACCAGAGUGCGCAUGCCGGUGGCACUGGCAUCGAAGCAGAAGCCGAAGAGCCUAACGAGGUUGAUGUGGUGUGUCCUCCCGAUGGUGCCCACCUCCGCCAUGAAUUGCUCCUGGGAGGUCCGGUGGUCGGAGGUGGCGUGGAGCCGCUUCACGGCGACCAUGAGGCCGUUGGGUAGCAUGCCCUUGUAUACGGUGCCGAACCCGCCGGCGCCGAGCCGGGCCGAGUAGUUGUUGGUGAAGCCGGAGAGCUGCUCCGGGGUGAACCGGAUGGGCUUUUCGCCGGCGAUCUCCUUGAGGAACCUCUCCACAGUGGCGUCCCAUAUCUGCAAGUCCGGCACCACCGCGUACAACGACGAUGCUGGCGUCGCGACAGCGCCUGUGGUAUUGAUGUUGAUGGCUGGGAGGCCGUUCUUCUUGACACACCUGUACACGAAGUAGGCUAUGGCGACGGUCCCCAAGAUGCUCAACACCCCUAGAACCGCAGGAAGAAAUUCAGGUAAACGUAAAUAUAAAAAAUCAUCACUCUUGAACUAUUCUUGAAUAUGAUUUAAUGGUGAUCCGUGUGCAAAAAAACGAUUUAAUGCUGAUCGAUCGAUGGAACAGUCGUCACGCACCGACGGUCAAGGCCAUGAAGGAGUUGAAGGUGCUGGAAGCUUGUUUUUUCUUUUGAGGGGAAGCUUUAGGUCAUAAAACCUAUAGCAUUUUAUUAAUAAAUAAAGAGAAUAUUUACAAAUAAUUACAAGUGACAACUAUCUGAAGUUUUUGAUCCAUGAUUGCAUGGAAUGGUAUUUCUUUCUUUUGGCUCUAUGGAAGACCAGGUUGAGCUCAUAUUUGAAGGUGCGUUUGCAUCUGUAGAGCGAUGGGUUGAUCCCAUUGAAUAUAUAGUCAUUGCGUGUUUUUCAGAUACUCCAGUUGACAGCAGUAAUUAUCUCCAUGUGAAAUGGGACUUGAAGCGCCUGUUUGAUGAUCAUGAUGUUGCCAUGGACAAUUGGCUGGGGCAUUGUCGGAGCACGGUCUCCGGCACCGGGGAUGCCGAGCACCCCCUUUUUGGUUCGGUGGAGGGCGAGGUGAUCGCUCCGGCGAACGCCGGCGUGGCGAUAGACACGAAGUGUAGACACAAGAGUUUUACCCAGGUUCAGGCCAGCCGGAGGUGUAAUACCCUACGUCCUGCUUUGAGUUGUAUUCACAAGUUUGAGAGCGUACAGAUCACCCGGGGAAUUCCCGGGUUGGCUACUUAGGUGAACGCUAUGCUAUGUUCUACUCACUCGGGUUUGAACUGAGCUGAACCCUUUGACCGGUGGCAUUGGUCCUCCUUUUAUAGACAAGGGGAUACCACAGGUGGCUAUGCAUGCAGGGUGACACGUUGCCUAGACGCGUGUCACAGCUAUAUGGAAUACACUUUUGCUCAUCCACGUGAGACGCCAUGUAGCGCCCGGUCCACUGUACACGGUAGAAAAAAUGGUUCUCAGGGUAGCCUAAGACUCCUGUCGGUGCAUUAAAUGCACUGCGCCCGUCGUCUUGUCCUGUUGUGGUGACCCAGACCCGUAAGGAUCCGGACCUCUGUGUACUCUGUGCUAGUCCCUGGAUCAAAUGCUAGCACACACAGUUCCAUUGAUGAAGUACCAUACACAUGUCUAUUACAUCGGUUCGAAUUACAAAUCCAAAGUACUUAAUACAACCAAGCGGAAGUUCAAAAUAAAACAAACUGAUAGGUGCAGGUCAGUACAUUGAAUGUACUUGCAAGUCACACCUGUGUGGUUAGGAGGAAUGCAUGGAAAUGAUGAAGGGUUUCCUAGUUUGGCUACUAAGGUUGUUUUUGCAAAAUGCUGCUUUUGGGGUUUUGAAUUACUCAUAGUACUUUCCUUUGAAAACCUCUAAUCCUGGAGUUUUGAUAAAACAAUGUUUGAUCAAUAGUAUGGUCAUUAUGUGGAAGUUCACUCCACGACCUAGCUAUGCACUCUGGGUCAACUGACACUCACAUAGCAUCCCUUUUUUCCUGACUCAUUCUGUGGAACCUUCCAUCGAGUCAAAACAGUUCUGGGGUUUUUGAAAACAAAACCUGAAGAUCUCCACUUCUCCUGACUUAAUGACUCAAAGUCGCCCGUAACCAGGGGCAUGGCUAAUCGAUUAGAUUGACACUCUCGAGAGGUUUGUACACUUUACCCACUUGACACAAUCAGUCCAAAGUGUUGCCUGACGACAAGCGUGCGCAACAGAUAAAGAUUGUGACGAAGUCUUUCACUAGAAGCCCCCUGAUACCUAAUUCUGGCACCGCCCGCCCCAUAUGAGCACAUUGGCUCCUCUCUGGAUGGCGAUACCCAGGUAAGGGUUUCCCGCUAGUUAGUCGACCAAGCCAGAGCCCAUAAUAGCAAUUGGUUGCACAAGAAGCUUUUGGGUACAUGAGAAGGUUUGAACUCUUGAAUUUCUGGACAGCGGUCCCCACCUUCUCCGGAGCGUGUACCCGUUACGGGGCUACAACACUUGCCGACAGCCAACUGGCCUCCAUCAUACCACUCCAUCCAGAUAAAACAUUUUGGUUUUAUUUCGAAAACAUUUUUCCAAAAACAUACUCGCUCAUAAAGAGCACUUAAUACUUUUCAAUAUAGUUUGGGUCCCGUCCCGUUAUAAUAGUAUAGCAUGCUUUGGAAAAACGUAAAUACAUAACUUAUGGUAUUUGGUGGCAUGGCAAUAAAAUCCUAUAAGCAAUCUACUAGGAAUAACUAAACAUGUUGAAAACGCAUUUGAUAAAUACUUCAUAAAGAAAUAACUCUAACAUGCAUCCCUAUGCCAUUGUAAACAAGAUAGCUUAAGCAAAAUAUAGGUACUACAUGAUCAAUAAGUGUAACUUGCCUGGUUCAGAAAAGUUGUUGCGGUCGUCAACUCCCUGGCACUCGUUGCAAUCGCAAUCCGAAUAAUCUAACGCGAAGAACGAAUCAACAAUAAAUGCAUAGUUCCAAACAUCUCUCAAAAUCCAAAUAUAACUCCAAAUGAACUUCGGAUAAAGGAUGUGUCACAACCAUACAAAAACAGAAUCUAAACAUCAUCUAAGUAAUACCAUAGUAUUAACAAUCAAGUUCUAAAGCCUAAGGUUAACGCUAGUGUGGCUAAGUCUGAAGAUUCAGUAAUCUGCUUCUGUUAACAGAUUGCAACUAGGGUUGACAGGAAAAAGGUGCUAAGGUACAGAACAUGGAAUGAAACAUAAGCUACAGUGUAGUUCUAAUGUUGUACUAACUAACGCAAUAGGUUUCAGUCCAAUUGGAUAAACAGACCAAAAGUUACUGGCUUGCAAAGGUGGCUAGUCAGAUUCUGACAGACAAAGAAUACUAACUUCUACUGAAAAGCUACUGGUGCUAAACUAUUCCAAUGACAGAGAAAUAAUCCAAGGAAUCCAAGAAUAUGAUAUACUCUUCCAAAUGGCACUGGUUUCACUAAUUAUGGAGAUAUGAGGCAGUAGCUAUGAACAGGUGAAUGUGGUUACUCUAAAACAGAACAGUACAGGAUAUGAACUUCUACCGUCAUGCUGCUAGUGAAGGUGAAAUUGAAAUGGUCCAACUAGGAAAUUGCUUUGAAGGGGUGUACCUAAGGUUCAAACUACAGAAAGAAUCAACUAAAAUGAUGCUACGGACAACAAAAAGAACUACUACGAAUAAGGCUACCCACUAAGAAUGGUGCUGCAACUUCCUGCCGUGGCAGAGAUAUGGCAGAGAGGCUGCUUAGAAUACAAUUUUGCGACGAGGAUGCAGUGCUCAAGAUGAACCAUCUACGGCUACUGUCUACAGAGCAAUUAUAGAGAAACAUUCACUCUACACAAUGGUGAAAACUAGAGCACAUAAUGAUCAACGGUCUGCUGACAAUCGACGCUUGAAAAGAGCUAACCGAAAAGCACGGGAGAUGAACAUGUUCAUACCCAAAUCUUCCCGGAGAUGAACGGAAUCGAAGAUCCGAAGAGCGGGAACGAAGAAGAAGGGUUGGAGGAGAUUCACGGUGUCGCGGGGAUCGCGCAGGCGAUGGCGGUUCGGCGAACGGAGCAGCGCAGCUCCGGCAAUUUCUCCCCGGAGUUUGGGCGGCGGCGGCGGCGGUUUCGGCCGGAAAUCGGGGCGCAGGGCGAGCGGGGAGCGGGGGCGGGCGAGGGCAUGCGCGAGAGGGGGCGCGGGGUGCUUUAUAGGGCUCGGGCGCCUGGGCGGCGGGGCUGGUGGUUGCGGCGCGACGUGGGGUCGCGGGCGCGUGCGGCGACGGCGGUUGCGCGGGCGACGCGGGCGGCGGCAGGGCCGGCAGGGCUGAGGGCGGCGGUGGAGUCGGCGGCGCGGGGCAGCGGCGACGGCGGCUGCGCGGGCGAGCAGGCAGGCGGGCGCGGGCAGCGGCGGCGGUUGGAGACGGCGGAGGUGGCCAGAGGAAGAAAAUGACUGGUGGGCCCCACCUGUCAGUGAGAGAGAGAUAGAAAGCGUAUUUCUCCAAGAAUACGUUUUCCUGCGGAGAAAGCGUAAUCCAGAUAAAAAGAAAAAGAAUAAAAGAAAAAGAUUAAUAAAUACUUUUCAGGAUCUAUAAUUCACCCGAAAUUCCAUUUAAAUCAUUUAAAAUAUCAAUUGGCAUCAGAAAAAUUCCAAAAAAUUCUGUAAAAUAAUAUAUUUCAUUUAGAGUCAAGGAAAAUUAUUCCCACUCAAAAAUAAAUUAAUAAAAAUAGUUGUAAUGUUUUUAAGCUUUAAAUAAAACCAAAUAAAAUCCUAGAAUGCGUUUUUAAAUUCUAGAAAAUUCUCAAAUCAAUUUCUAUCAACCUAACACAUUCCAAGACACCAUUUAAAACACUUUCAAUAAUGCAUCAUAACGAACACCAAAAUUUUAAGAUAUGAUCAAGGUGAUAUGCAUAAGAAAUGAAAAGGUGCGAACAUUCGAAAUCGUGGGCCACUGGUACGACAGUAGCCCUCGGGCGUGCGCCGGCAGCCUUGAAGCUUCCAGCAAGCGCUAUCCUCGAUCGGUUGCCGGGCUACGCCCUAUUUGACACGUGGGUCCCAAGGGGGAAACCCAUUGGCACCCGGCCUCGUGGGCCGCAUUUAUAGUUCCACUUCUCCGAGCAAAACGGUCGGGCGCACGAUUUCGUGCCUUAUCCCCCUUAAUCGCCAGAGAGUUAAGGCCACGUCGCGCACCCCCUCUUAAUCUUUGAUUCUUUAGGGCUCUUUAUUGAUGAUCAUGGGGGUGUCCGUUGCAGUCCGCCAGCCCCGAUAAAUACCCAAGGCCAGUGGCGGGGCACUCCCCAUUGUCUCUCGCUCCUGCCAUCACCUCCUCCCAAGCUCCCCGCUCCCCAACUCCAACUGAACCACCUCUCCACCUCCGCCGAUGUCUUCCAAGGGCCAGAACCGUCCCAAGGGGAGCACCAGCAAAGGGGAUAAGGCCGGCAAGAAGGAUCUGUCGGACAGGGCUCGGAAGGAGGAGGAAAUGCGGGCUAAAUUUGCCUUCUCCCCCCCCCCCCCCCAGGGUACAACGGCGAGGGGGUCGACAAGCUGGACUUGGUACUGGCCACCAAGCACAAUGAGCACGGGCCGACGCAGGUCCUUCCCGUCGGAGCGGAGCGUGACGGGCACUAUUUCCGGAUCUUCGGGAGGUUCAUCCUUGCCGGGUUCGUGCCGCCGCACUCCUACUUCCUUUCAGCCAUCAUGGAGACCUACAAGCUCAUCAUGGCACAGCUUCACCCCAUGUCGUUCUUCACAUUGGCUAUUUUCCAACACCUCUGUGAAGCGUUCGUGGGGGUGAUGCUGUCGGUGGCGCUAUUUCGCCACUACUACUACCCGAGGGUGGAGAAGAAGGCUCCCCUGUCCUCGGGGGUAGUGUUCCGAUUCCGCGACAGAAUCAAAUCGGAAUUCAUCGAGCUGCGGAAGAAGAAGAUCGAGCAUGAGUGGCGCUAUGACUGGUGCUGGGUGCGCACCGAUGAGCUCCAGGAAUUCCACGAGGAGCCCCUCGGGCCUCCGAAGGGCUCUGACGACUGGACGCUCCGCGACCAUAAGGACGAGGAGCUGGCCCCAAUCUGUGCGAAGAUCAAGGCGCUCCGUGAGGCCGGGCUCACGGACACGGAUGUGGCGCGCCACUUCAUCGGGAGGCGCGUGCCCCCUCUGCAGCGGCGCUCUCAUCCGGCGUGGAUGUACACCGGGGCCAGCGACCGGACCCGGCUGCAGCGCACGGACCUCCUCGCGGAGGAAGUGCAGUUCUGGGUGAAGGGUAUCACCGGCGAGGACGAACCUUACCGGCUACUCUCGCCUAGAACGCACUCGCUCCACGCCGAGAUCCCGAACCCGGGAGCCCGGGAUCUCCCACUCUGUGACGAGUGGGGGAUUGUGGAGGACCCCUCGGUGCAACCCUCACCCCCGCAGCCUAGGUCCCGGAAGGGCAAGGAGACGACUGCCGACUCGGGGAAAGGGGUCCAAGGCCAGGCCUCCACCAAGGCAGAGGGCUCGGACUCCGACGACUCCUCGCUGGGUGUCGGAGGAGACCUCAGUGACGACGACGUUCCCCCGGCAGCCGGCAAAGUCGUGCCAGAGGUGGAUGACGAGUAAGAUGACGUCCCCCUGGUGAGGCGGUCCGCGGCGGAGCGGGCGGGAGGCCAGCCCACAGCUCCAGGAGCCUCACGGCGACGCGGGGGCUGGGGCCUCCGAUGGCAGUGGCGCGGCAGCAGCAGCCGCCCCGACCACCUUGGCAACUCCAACAGUUCCCCCCGCGCGAAGCGGCCCUCCGGCGAGGAGCAUCCUAGCGGACAGGGUGCUCAAGCUCAAGCCUGCGGGGUAAGUCCAAUGUUGUCCAGAACAGUUUUGAUUUCGUGAAAUUAUUUUGUGCCUGACUAAUCUAUUUUUGCGUUUUCCAGUUCGUCGAGGAAGAGGGGGCAGGCCAGCGUGUCGCCGGCAGCCCCAACCAAGAAGCCUUGCCCGGCAUUGGGCGGCCGCGACCAAGACGCUGCUGACGCUGCGGUUGCGAUGAUGGUAGCGGGGUCCCCGAUUCGAGCUCGCAGGGCACCGGCCCGGCGGUAGGUACGUGCAAGUUCGAACACUUCCUUUAUCUGUUCGCACCAAUCCCCAUGCUUGACGCAGGUGCCGUUCAUGCAGUUGCCGGAGGGGCUCCAGCUGCGCCCGCGCCUACAGAGGUGCGGGUCAUCGACCUUACUGGCAAGGUCGACGACGAUGCUCCGGCGGAGGUUUCCUUCGCCGGAGCCCUUCAGCAAUCGACCACGGCGCCUGCCGGGGCCAUGACUGCUGCAACAGGUGACGCCACGCAGGGGGUGCCAUCUGAGGCGGGCGACACAGAGCAGCCUCUUCUAGCCGGGGUGGGCGGUGGUGCCCUGGAGAAGCCCCCGAGCCCCCAGCUCGCCCCUUCGGACGAGCAAGGAGCGGCGGGGCUCGGCCAUGCCGGGGGCGCGCCAUCAAAUCCUGACGCGCCCUCGGGGUCGCAGACGGUUGCGGCGGGGUCCUCCUCCUCCGCCGGAGCCGCCUUCAGCCUGGGAGCAGGGGAGCUCGCCGGGCGGACUCGGGGUCGGAUCACUUUCGAGCCCAGCGUGUUCCAGCAGGGACACCAAGUGAUCGACAACAUCCAGCAGCAGCAGCGGAUGUUCGUCAAUUAUUUCAACGACGCGCAGCAGCACCACGCCCGCGUAGUGGCCGAACUGGGCGCAGCGCGACGGGAGGCGGAGGAGCAGUGCACCGAGCUGCAGCGGCUCCGGCAGGAACUCCAGCAGGCGUGGCAAGCCGGGGCAACGCCAGCUCUGCAAGGGGUGCCGGAGGCGCAGGUCCUCCAACAGCUGUGGGAUCUCUAGCAAGAGCACAGCGGGAGCUCGAGCUGGUGAAAGCCACACAUGCCAAGAGCGAGGAGGAGCACCAGGCGGCUCUGGACUCGUUCCAAGGGCGUCUCCGGAAGAAGACGGACUUACUGUCCGGCUACUCCCCGGAGAUCCAGCGCCUCCGCCGCGAGGUCGGAGAGCUGGAGACGGUGGCCGCAAUAGCAGCCGAAGCCUCAGCGUGCCGGGAGAAGGAGCUGCGGGACCAGGCCCGCUCCCGGGAGCGUGAGCUUGCGGGGCAGCUCAAGGCCGCCCAAGAUGCCAGCUCGUCCCUUCAGGGCGAGUUCGACAUGGUGCGGCAAGAACUCCGGUUGGUCGACGACGACAACACCAAGAAGGCGUCGGAGAUCGGUAGGCUGAAGUUCUAGUGCCGCGAGCACAAGCUGCAGGCCCAGGAGGCUCGCGGUGCGUGCAUAGAGCUGCGGGCCCGCAGGACAGGGGAGGUGGCCCGGCUGAAGAAGCUGGCCGACUCGGCGGUGGAGGCGUUGCAGGGGUUCGACAUCCCUGUGGCUUCCUUCGAUGGGGCAGACAUGGGGAGGUUCACUUCGUUCUUCUCAGACUUCGUCGGCCGGCUGAGCGGCUUACAGAGCUGUGUCACGACCUUCGGGGACCGGCAAGUCGGCCUUGCGGCCAAGCAGGUCGCCAGGCAGAUUCUCACCCGGGUCCACUCCGCCCACCCCGACUUCCCGUUCGAGUCGGUCUUCGACGCCUGGUCGGACGAGGAAGAGGCCAAGACCCACCGGGAGGCGGUGCAGGGCGUCGUGGACGAGAUGGUGGCGCGAAUGCAGGGUAAGGUCGACGAAGACGAAGCCGCUGCUGAGGAGGUUGCCGGAGAAGCCCCCGAUGCCGAGGAUUCCCCUGACAUCGACGCAACCACCCCGGGAGCACCUCCCGCGUAGUUCUCUUCCUUCUCUUUUUUUUAUUUCCCUGGAAGUGGUGCAUGGCGCCUUAGAACUUUUUAUGUUAGCUUUCCCUUGUCAUUAUCAGUGUUACUCGUCAACUUGUUUUGCCCAAGCUUUGAUAUAUAUCCAAUGCUACUUUUAUUUGCUCCUUUGCCUAAAACUAGCUUGACGGGGAGGGGCUCUGUCCUUCCCGUGUUUUAGCCUUGCGUACUCGGAGACUCGCCAACCACAUGCUUGGCCAGACUAGGGACCCGGGAUGGACCCGCGAUGCCGACCUAGGGCCAAACAGCAGCGGCUAGUCACUCCGCCUGCGGGUUAACUACCCCAGCGCGCACGCCUCUGGGACGGACCCGCGAGCCACGUGUGGGGGGCGUCCUCACCCCGCAAGCGUCCUUCCUACGCUCCGGCUACACGGGGACCGAGCUUACCCCAGCAAACCAGUGUUACUAAAGGGGAAAAACCAAGGAUCCAAGAUACUUAGCUUCCCGUUCUUUUUAGACUUGUUGCGCCUUGUUGAGAGCCGUGGCAAGGACGUGGUGGCAGUGCACCCUCCAGCAGUACCUUCGGAGCUGCGGAGGCAUGCACCACCAGCCUUUACGACGCCUCUCGCUUGUCUCAUCGCCAUUUCUAGUGUCGCUCCAUAAGAGAUGUGGCAGGGCCACGAUGGUGAGAACACCCUCAGCGACAAGCGCAGAGGGAUGCAACACCAUCGCCUCUCUGCGACAUCUCUUGUUUUCUUGCCCGUUUCUGGUGUUGCACUUGCCCUGGUCUCCUUAAAUAGCCAAAGGGUUGUUCUUGCCUCCACACGCCCGGGACCACCAGCCGCCGCGUGGAGGGCACUGGCCCUGUCUCAGUUUCCUGCAUCAAGCCUCGAAGUAAUCGCCAUAUAUGUACAACUUACUCGCAAGACGACGACACCCGUGACCGCCACGAGUGUCACUGUGUGCCUUCGCCUCAUCCCUAUUCUGCAUGUCAGAUUCCUGCAGUGCCCAAGGUAUAUAGCAAAAAAAUUCGAAAUGUACGAAAAACAAUAUAAACUGGAUAACCUCCUGCCUCCCAGCCCCCGGGCACAGAAGAAUCAACCUCAGACCUGGGUGUGAACAUCUCUACGUUUCCACGGUGCCUCUCUGGCACGUAGCACGUUGCAGACGGGCCCGACAACUGCUAGGCCUCGUUCCGGGGCGUCCCGGCAACGAGCUUGGUUUUCAGGGUUCCGACAGCCCCCUGCUCACGGCCAAGGAUGAGGAGACAAUUCGGUGCACCUGGAGCAGGAGACAGAAGCAUUCACAGACAGGAAAGCACAAUAUUUACCAAUGUAACACUUAUCUUUAUUCAACUUUGUGCUAGUGGAUUACAAUCGGGCCUUGCCCGGCUACACUAGCUUAAAGAGGCAUGCUGCCGUAGCGUCACCCGUGGGUAAGGCACCAUCGUUUCACGGGCAAAACUUGCGUAUGUGCUCAAUGUUCCAACUAUUGGACACCGGCAAGCCUUCUUCGGUUUAAGGACGGACAGCCCCCGGUCUGGUCACCUGCACUACCCGGAAAGGGCCUUCCCAGAUUGGAGUCAACUUGUUCCCGACCUUCAUUCCUUGUAUCCGGCGCAGGACGAGGUCUCCAACCUCGAGCCCCAGGGGACGGACUCUCCUGUCGUGAUAACGACGGAGUCCCUACUGGUAGCUUGUAGCUCAUACAGCAGCUCGGCAUCGAAUCUCCUCGAUGAAUGUAAGGUCAUCAAUCCUCUGCGUGUGUUGGCUCUUGUCGCCGUACGCGCGUACCCGAGGUGACCCAUACUUGAGCUCGAGUGGCAGCACAGCUUCUGCCCCGUAGACGAGGGCAAACGAAGUUUGACCCGUCGCCCGACUCGGCGUGGUCCGCAGUGACCACGGCACGGGCUGGAGUUCUUCAACCCAGUGUUUCCCGUGGUCUUUGAACUUGUCAAAGGUUCUCGUCUUGAGCCCCCGCAGCACCUCUGUGUUGGCUCGCUCAACUCGCCCAUUGCUCCUCGGAUAAGCAACAGAGGCAAAGUGAAUCUUAGUGCCCAUUUCCUCGCAGUAAGCUCGGAAAACCACACUAGUGAAUUGCGUGCCCUUGUCGGUGAUGAUGCCGUUAGGCACACCAAACCGGCACACAAUGCCCUUGAAGAACUUGAUGGCUGGCUGCGCCGUGACGGCUCGGACAGGCUCCACCUCGACCCACUUCGAGAACUUGUCGAUGGCCACAAGUAGGUACUCGUAGCCGCCAACUGCUCUCGGUAGUUUGCCGAUGAUGUCCAGCCCCCAGACCGCGAACUGCCAUGAGGACGGGAUGACUUGCAGGGCUUGCACCUGGUUGGUUGCGCUUCUUGGUGUGAAACUGGCAUGCUUCACAGAUCUUGACUAAUUGCUCGGCAUCGGCUAGUGCUGUCGGCCAGUAGAAGCCGUGCCGGAACGCUUUUCCAGCUAGUGUUCUGGAGGCCACAUGGUGUGAGCAUGUGCCUCGAUGUAUAUCUUUCAGCAACGCGUGCCCUUCCUCCUCGGGCACACAGAGGAGCAUGACUCCGUUAAGACGCCUCCGGUAGAGUUCUCCGUCCACCAGGGCGUACAUUUUAGCUUGCCGGGCUACUCGCUCCACGGCAAUGUCUUCCUCCGGGAGAGUCCCGUCCUUGAGGUAGCGAAUAAUAUCCGUCCCCCAGGAUGGUGUUGGGAAUAUGCCCUAGAGGCAAUCAUGUAUGAUGUAAUUCCCAAUGUAUUCAUAAAUAUUAUUAAGUUGUCCUUGUUUGAACAUCUGAUAUGUAUCAUUGAAUAUGUGAUUUGAUUGUGAAACUAUGUAUUCUUGUUGUUCAUACUAAAUUGUCCUUAGUCAUUGAGGUUGUGCUGGACACAUAACCUAGACUAAUGUGAAAGUUGGCUGAUGACUCGGUUCCACUUGUCAUGGGCAUGGUGAUGUCAUUCCAGCUUACAUGGACUCGGCUAAAGAGUUUAGCGAGUCGGACUGACCCAUAUUGAGAUGCAACGAGUAGGUCGUCAUUUGCAUGUCUCAAUCAAUGUAAUCCUUAGACCUGAGGUUAUCGCACAAUCCGAGUUGUGGAUCACCAACUUAGGUUCUGUCAAACGUUGUUCCGUAACAGGGCAGUUAUAAAGGCAGAGUUCGGGUUGACUGAGAAUCAAGCUGUGUGAUGUGGAUAACCAAGAUGGGAUUUUGCCCCUCCGACUGGAGAGAUAUUCUCUGGGCCCUCUCGAGUGAUAUGAUUCGGGAAGCAUGGCCAUGCGCGACUUGGUUAACUGUUAACCGGGUCGAUCGACUAAGAGUUAGUCGGAUGAAUCGUAUAUCACAAAUCGAGAAGAGAGUUGAACUAUUAAAGGGAUGACGAUUAAUCGCCUAUAGUUCGACAAGGUAUAUCGUGAGGCAAAAGGGACUAAGACGUAUGUCACAUUGGAAGGUACGUCGUCAUGACUCGAUGGUACUUGGGAGUCGGCACGUUCUGCUAGGAGCCGCUACCGAUUGAUCGAUUGUGAGUCGGACUCCAAUCGUGUCCAAGUCGCCAUGAGCCUGCGGGGUCACACACUUAAGAGCGGGAGCAAGUAUUUGGUCGGGUUGGACCUGAACUGGAAUUGGGCUGACAAUGCGAGUUGGACUCGCUGGGUGGAUGGGCCACAAGGCUUGGAGCCCACUUCCACUCGGUAUAUAAGCAGGGGCGUGGGAUGCCUAAGGGGCAACGGUUUUUCCACUCUCAUGCGUUGAGAACUCUAGCCCGAUUCAGUUCAACCGUCGCAACGGACCUAGCAGUCCGCCGCCGGAGCUCCUCCUCGCACGUGUGGAUACCGGCAGAGGUGCUGUACGUUCAGCACUUCGACGAUCGCGGGAUUGGAUCGGCUGGAUCGGAUCGAGGGACUGCACUGCAUCAAGGCGCCGCAUCGAUAAUCCGCAACUGCGCGUCUAGUGGUAAUCCUCGUGGCCUUCUACCUCGGCUAGAUCUUGGGAGUUCGCGUAGGAAAAGUUUUGUUUAUCUCUACGCGCCCUUCAGAUGGUGGCUCCCGGCUAGUAUAUGCCCCCAAUUUGGCGGCAUAGUCCCCUGCAGCUGCAGACUCACCUUGAGUUGCCGGAGGGGCUUCCCCGGUAACUGCCUUGGGGUCGACAGAGGGCUUCGACUGCCUCUGCACGAACACCCCAGGAGGCACCUUGCUGCGUUCCGCUGCCCACUUGGACAGUUCAUCCGCAACAAAGUUGUCUUUACGCUUCACGUGCUCAAAUCGAAGUCUUUUGAACUUGGACUCCAAUUUUCGCACUUCCUCCACGUACGCUGCCAUCUGGGGGCAGUCAUAGUCCUUGUUUACCUGGUUGAUCACGAGUUGGGAGUCUCCGCGAACAACCAAGCGCUUGAUGUCGAGGGCGAUCGCCGCGCGUAGCCUGGCAAGUAGUCCCUCAUACUCUGCCGUGUUGUUGGUGGAGUUAGCGAAGUCGAGCUAUAUCACGAACUUGAGCUGGUCUCCGGUGGGCGGCUCGAUCACCACUCCGGCACCAGCGCCCUGCAAGAAGAAGGCGCCGUCGAAGUACAUGACCCAGUACCCUUCGUCCAAUCUGCCGGGAAGGCUUACUUCCGGCUCUUCUUCCUCUAUGCCUGUCGACGUCCACUCCGUGACGAAGUCAGCGAGAGUGCUUUUGAUGCUCUUGGUGUUUGUGAAACGCAGGCGAACUCUGCCAGCUCCAUUCUCCACUCGGCCACCUAGCCGGUGGCUUCACUGUUGGUGAGGGCCCUCUCCAAGCAGAACCCCGACACCACCGUGAUGCUGUGCGCCUGAAAGUAAUGGCGCAACUUCCUUGAAGCGAGCAGGAUCCCAAGCAGAAGCUUCUGGACCUACGGGUACCGUACCCGGGCAUCGCGCAGCACCGUGCUAACAAAGUACACAGGAUGUUGUACUAGCCGCUUGCGGGGGCCAGCCUGCAUGGGCUGUCCCUCGGAUCCAGGGGCAGAGGAGGUAGCCGGAGGUUCUUUCGGCUCGCCGGGAGCCCCCGCCCCUUCCGUCUCAUCCCCCGGGACUUGCUCUUCCCUCUCGGCGAUGAGCACGGAGCUCACCACCUGAUCCGUCGCUGCCAGGUACAGCAGCAAUGGCUCGCCCGGCUUGGGGGCGACGAGGACCGGCGGCGACUUCAGGUACCUCUUCAAGUCUUGGAACGCCGCUUCCGCCUCGGAAGUCCAAUUGAUUGGACCCUUCUUCAUCACCUUGAAGAAAGGCAGGGCUCGCUCGCCCAGCCUUGAGAUGAAAUGCCCUAGCGCCGCCACGCACCCGUUGAGGCGCUGGACGUCUCUAACCUUGCGGGGUGCCUCCAUCUUCUCGAUCGCUUCGAUCUUCUGUGGAUUGGCUUCGAUUCCCCUGUGAGAGACCAAGAAGCCCAGCAAGUGUCCCGAGUCCACACCGAACAUGCACUUCUCGGGGUUAAGCUUGAGCUUGAUCCUGCGGAGGUUGUCAAACGUCUCCUGCAGGUCGCCGACGAGCGAGUCCCUAUGCCGCGACUUGACGACGAUAUCAUCCAUGUAGGCCUCGAUGUUCCGGCCUAGCUGGGGUCCCAGACACUCACGCAGGGCGCGCUGAAAUGUCGAGCCCGCGUUCUUCAACCCAAAAGGCAUGCACGUGUAACAGUAGCAGCCAGCCGGGGUGAUGAACGUUGUUUUCUUCUCUUUGACUGCCAUCUUGAUCUGAUGGUAGCCGGAGAAAGCGUCUAGGAAGCACAAAGACUCACAACCCGUUGUAGAAUCUACUAUUUGAUCGAUACGGGGUACAGGGAAGGGGUCCUUAGGACAUGCACGGUUAAGAUCAGUAAAAUCUACACACAUGCGCAAUUUAUUUUCAGCUUUAGGGACUACAACAGGGUUUGCUAACCAAGUAGGCUACAACACUUUCCUGAUCGCUCCGGCGUUCUUGAGCUUCUGCACUUCCUGCUAGAUGAAGUCCUUGCGUUCUUGUGCUUACCGGCGAACCUUCUGCUUGACGGGCCGCGCGUCCGGCCGCACUGCCAGCCGAUGCUCGAUCAUGUCCCUAGGGACUCCGGGAAGAUCUGACGGCUCCCAAGCGAACACGUCAGAGUUCUCCCGGAGGAAGGCGACGAGGGUGCUUUCCUAUUUGUCGCCCAGGCUCGCACCAAUGGAGACGAUGCGUGCCUCGUUGCCGGCAUGCAGGGGCACCUUCUUGACCUUGGUGCCCUCCUCCUUUAGCUUCGUGCCCUUGCUUACGCGCGGGCUGGAGCUGGAGCUGCCCCCGGCAUCCUGCCUGGGAGCGGCCCGUGCAUUCUUCUGGGCGGGUUGUUCACCCGCAAGUGGAUCCUCGCUCCCGGCAACGUCGUAGUCGUUGGGAUCCGCACUGCGGAGGUCUUCACGACCUCACCCACGCACCAAGCAGCAUCCUUCAGGUUGCACUUGAUGGAGAGAACGUCGUAUGUUGACGGCAUCUUCAUCACGCCGUAGGCGCAAUGCGUUGCCGCCAUGAACUUGAUCAGCGUUGGCCGACCAAUGAUCCCGUUGUACGGCAACGGGGUGUGAGCCACAUCGAAAAUGAUGUGCUCAGUCCGGAACGGUUUCCGGGAACCGAAGGUCAUCGGGAGCGUGAUUCGCCCCAUGGGCUGCACCACUCCGGGAUUGAUCCCCUGGAACGGGUCGGUGGGCUUCAUCUGCUCCAGGGAGAGCUGAAGCUUUUCCACUAGCUUGGCGGACAGCAAGUUGAGGCUUUCCCCGCUGUCCCCUAGUACCUUGGUCACCGUCACGUUGUUUAUGAUCGGCGACACUACGAGGGGCAGGACCCCUUAACCCAAGGGACAGAUUUGGUCAUCGUCCGAGUUGAAGGUGAUCGGCACAUGCGACCACCUCAACGGCUGCUGCGCCUCCACGCUGGGGAGGAGGGCGCAGACCUCACACGUGAGCAGCUUCACGGCGGCGUGAGACGUGAGAGCAUAAGCUCCCCCGUGGAUGCAGGCGACGUCGCGAGGCUCCUGGAAGCCGGCUCGUCGGCGUCGUCAUCGCUUUAGACAUCCCCGUGCUGCUCAGCGCGAGGCUUGUCAUGUCCCCGGGGAGGCCGGUCCUUGCCACCGCAGGCCUAACAGCGACCCCCCACGGGUUCUCCUUUGUCGCCGCCGGCUGCGCCCCGGCCUGCUCCGCUGCGGGGGUUGUUCGGGCAGUCCCGGGAGAGGUGCUCGAUGUCUCCGCAGUUGAAGCAAGCCCCGGAAGCGUGGCGCUCCUCGUGGCGUUGCUCGCGCUUCUCCUUGACGGUCUGAAGAGUGCGGCAGUCCUGUGCGUCGUGGGUGGCGUUGGUGUGGAUGGGGCAGCGCGCGGCCACUGCCGGCUUGCUGCCCGAUGCUCCUGCCGACACUGCCUUCUUGGUGGGCCUCUGGGGAGUCCCCGGCUCCGCGGCAAGCACUUGCUUCCCGCCGCGUUUCCAGGAGCUCUUCUUCCCGGAGCCCUCUGGUGGGUUUGCCGCAGCUUUGGCGGCAAGCUCGGGCGGCAAGCGCCCUUGCUCGGCCAUCACGCACUUGUGCACGAGAGCGUAGAGAUCCCUUGUGCUCCAGAUCCGGUGCGUGUUGAGCUUCUCACGCAUCUUCGGGUCGCGGACGUUGAUGGCGUACGUGUUGAUGAUUGCGGCCGCUUCCGCCUCAGGGAUGGAGUAGGAGAGGUUGGAGAACCUGUUGGUGAAGUCCUGCAACGUCUCCCCGAUUUCUGCACGACCGUGUGCGGUUCCGCCAUGGUUCUCGGGCGCUUGUAGCCGCCCUGGAACGCGUUCACGAACUACUCGCGCGGGUCAGCCCAGCAGGCUAUGGACCCGGCGGGCAGGUUGAGCAACCAAGUCCUCGCUGAUCAUUUGAGGACCAUCGGGAAACAGUUGGCCCUGACCUUGUCGUCGAUGCCAAUGGCGUGCAUGCCCAACGUGUAGGUCAGGAGAAAAUCCUUGGGGUUCACGGUCCUGUCGUACGUCCCGAGCAUCGGCGCUUGGAACUUGUGGGGCCACGUCACCCGGCGCAGCUCGCGAGUAAACGCGGCGCAGCCGUCCUCGGCGCCUAUGGGAGCAUCCUCCUGCUCCUCUGGGCGCUGGCAUUCUGCCUCACGCCAGCACCGGCGCUCCAAGCACUGGCAGGGGUCUUCCUGCUGGUGAGCAUUCAAGACGCCUUGCGCGUCACCCCGUGUAAUGGUCGGUGACGAAUCCGAGGACCCCACGGGAUACUCGCCUCCUUUCCCUCCCAACGGGGGAGGGUGUUCUCCGUGGCCCGAGACGCGGGGCGCAUCUUCGCAUGCCGGAUCUGCCCUCGGCCUGAACCAGCCGGGGCGCCCUCGCCUUGCGGCUGUUGGGCGGCGAGUGCAAGGAGCGCGUCUAGCUCCGCACUCCAUGCUUCGUGCGCUGGUGUACCUUGCGGUGGCUCGUAGCGCACCAUGACACGCGCGGCUAUGAUGGCUUCCGCCGGGGUCUACCGAUGGCCGAGGAGGUGGAGGUGGCAGCUGCGACUGCUGCUGCUGCCGUGGAGAGGACCCCUGAUCCCCUUGUGCUUGUGACGCGCGCGCAGCGUCAUGGGACCGAGUGCGCAUGGCGAGAGUGUCGCGCAAGUCGACCCGGGGCUCGUCUGCCUUCUUAGGCGGCAUGGCGAGCUAGUCAUUGAAGAUGUCGUAGGCGAAGAAGCCGGUGUUGAUGACGAUGACGCCGGCGGUCACCUGAAGCUCUCUGCACGCCCCCCUACCUGGCGCGCCAGAUGUCGGAGCACGGUCUCCGGCACCCGGGAUGCCGAGCACCCCCUUUUCGGUUUGGAGGAGGGCGAGGGGAUCGCUCCGGCGAUCGCCGGCGUGGCGAUAGACACAAAGUGUAGACACAGAGUUUUACCCAGGUUUGGGCCACCCGGAGGGGUAAUACCCUACGUCCUACUUUGAGUUGUAUUCACAAGUUUGAGAGCGUACAGAUCACCCGGGGAGUUCCCGAGUUGGCUACUUAGGUGAACGCUAUGCUAUGUUCUACUCACUCGGGUUUGAACUGAGCUGAAUCCUUUAACCGAUGGCAUUGGUCCUCCUUUUAUAGACAAGGGGAUACCACAUGUGGCUAUGCAUGCAGGGUGACACGUUGCCUAGACGUGUGUCACAGCUAUAUGGAAUACACUUUUGCUCAUCCACGUGAGACGCCAUGCAGCUCCCGGUCCACUGUGCACGGUAGAAAAAAUGGUUCUCAAGGUAGCCGCUCUAGCCUUGCUACAAGGCUAGACCUGCUGAUAAGACUCCUGUCAGAGCAUUAAAUGCACUGUGCCCGCCGUUUUGUCCUGUCUUCACUGUUCUGUAGGUCCCGCUUGCAUGCCCGAGCGCGGGUUGCUGGGGUGCACCUUCCCCGCUAGCGCACCGGCUAGUUGCUGGGAGGCGUUCCUUCGGCUUCCCGGGACCAGGGUUCCCGGGAGCAUCUUGUACUCGUCCCUUAGCUUUAGCUUCACUAGGGGGCGUCUCCUCGAGGCAGGCUUCCCGGGCUCGUCGCUUCCCGGGAGUCCUUCCUGAUGGGGCUCCGUCACUGGCGACCCACGCGUCCCGUAUCAGUGGGACCCCGUGGGCCACUGGUACGACAGGCAUGAAUGUCGGGCAAAUAUAUCUCCAGCAUGUCAAUGCAAAGGGACAGGAGAAGAAAAGGUGAUCACUGGUUUCCAGCUGGAAUUGAUUGCAGAGGAUGCGGUUGUAAUCUUGCAAGUGGAAGUUCUUUUUCUGUAGCAUGGCCCGAGUGUUGAGUCUAUCAAUCAAAGGGAGCCACAUGAAGACCUUAUGUUUGAGCUGACAACAUGAUGACCAAUUCCAUUUGAGUGACAUGGGAAUUUCAAUGUGAGCAAUGAAGGAUUGGUAGAUAUUCACAGUAGAGUAACCAGGAUCAUUCCAUGGAUAUAGCCAUGUAUGUCGUUCAUCAGUUCUGUUCAUGUUUGUGCAAAGCAGAGUGAGUUCCAGGAAUUGUUGAUGAGCUCCAGCCGAAAGUGGCAGGUGGAAGAGAUCAGUGAGCUCUUGUUGAUUUGCAAUGUCCCAGUUGGUGGAGAACUGAUUGAUGACAAAUGAGUGCAGUGUGGCCAAGUGUGGGCAAGUGGAUUAUCCUUCCAUCUAUCCAGCCAAAAGAGAACUGUAUUCCCAACCUGAGCGUUGCAAUGUGCAAUUUCCUUGUAUUCAGGUAAUAGUUUCAACGUGUCUUUCCACCAAAAUGAUGCCUCAGGUGUAUUAUGUAUGGGCAGAUCAUGUGAAUAGUAUUGUUCCCAUACAAGGUUAACCCAUGGAAGAUUAACUCUAUUGUAAAAUUUAUGCAGAUUCUUCCUGAUCAGAGCUUUGUUUUGUAGUUCCAUGUUGAUGACCCCAAGUCCCCCUUCAUCUUUCGGCCUGCAAACCAUUUCCCAUGCUGCAAGUGGAGGGUUUUUCUUUGUAAGAUCUUGUCCCCGCCAGAGGCAGUGUCUUCUAUAUUUGUCAAUCUGUGUUAUCACUCCUUUAGGCAGGAUGAAUGUGCUCAUCUGGAAAGUGGGUAAAGCAGAAAGGAUAGGAUGAAUUGCAAUUUUCCUCCAUAUGAGAGCAUACCGGAGAAACAAGAAAGUCUGCUUUCAACUCUUUUGAUCAGAGGCAUGAAUUCCUCAAUCUUUGGCUUUGUAGUACCAAGUGGAAGGCCGAGAUAUGUGAAUGGUAAGGUGCCCAUUUGGCAUGCAAGAAUAUCAGCAAAGUACUGCCCCCUUUCAGUAGUCAUAUUAAGUGGGAUCAAGCUUGAUUUGUGAAAGUUAACUUUUAGUCCAGUGGAAGCAUGAAACUGUUAGAGGAUGUCUUGGAGAAUUUGGAGUUGGUUCUCAUCAGCCUUCAUGAUAAUCAGAGUGUCAUCAGCAUAUUGGAUGAUAGGGAAAUCUGGACAACCAGAUGAGUUGAUUUUGGCUUUCAAGAUGUCCCUGAUGCAUGGCUUCAUUAAGUGCAGUCUGAAGGAGGUCAGCAACAAUGACAAAUAUAAGAGGGGAUAGUGUGUCACCCUGUGUAACACCUCUCUUACAGUGAAUCAUUUUACUAGGAACACCAUUAAGAAGAAUUUGUGAGGUAGCAGAGUGUAGUAUGUUAUUGAUCCAUUGACACCAUUUAGUACCAAAUCCCAUAGCCUGCAUAAUCUGGAUGAUGGCCUUAUAUUCAACUUUAUCAAAUGCCUUCUCAAAAUCAAGCUUGAGAAGAAUUGUCUCUUCCUUGGAUUUAUGACAUGCAUGAAUGUACUCAAAUGCCCAAGCCAGGCAGUCUUGAAUAGUUCUGGUUUUAAUGAAUCCAUGUUGAUUGGGGUGAAUCAAUUGCAUGAUUAUAUUCUGGAGUCGGUUAGCAAGGAACUUGGUGAUGAGCUUGAGUGAGCAGUUGAGGAGUGAGAUGGGCCUGAAGUCAUUGACCUUGUCAGCAGCAUCAGUCUUAGGGAUGAGUGCAAUGUGGCAGGUGUUGAUGCAGGAUAAUGAUAGGAUGCCAUCAUGGAAUUGUUGACAGAGCUCAUAGAAAUCCUCUUUGAUGAUAGGCUAGCAUUUUCUGAUAAAGUUAGUGUUGAAUCCAUCAGGUUCACGGGAUUUGUUUGUUGGAAGGUUCUUAACCACCAUGUCAAUUUCUUCAUGAGUAAAUGGCUCUUCUAUGGAGGAGAGGUCAAUGUUCUGCUGGAAGAGAUCUUGUAAUGGAAAUGUGAGAUUCCGACCCUUAGUUGUUCCAAGUCUCUCUCUGAAUGCUUGCCAGAACAUAUUGGCUUUGAUAUCAUGAUCAUAUACAAGAGACUCAUCACUCUCUUCAGACAAGCAAUUUUGCUCUUCCUGUGCUGGAUUGUUGCAAGUGAGUGAAAAAACUUUGAGUUCUCUUCUCCAAAUUGAACCCAUUUAAUUUUUCAUUUUUGUUUCCAAUAUGUGCUCGUCAUUGGAGAAUGAUGAAAUAGACAUGAUGAUCAAUUGGUUUGAAAUGAAACGGCCGGAUACAUCGAUUGGCUGGCUGGCUAGCUAGAGAUGACAGAGAACGCCGAUGAUGAUAAUUCUUCUACUGCUUGAUCCAACAUUUGAAAAUGGGACUUGGAUUUAUCCAUAGCAGGCAUGCAGUCGCUGUUCUCCAAGUCAGUCAACACGCGGCCCCGCUGCUGCUGCUGCGCCCAGAAUUCAACACGGCAAAUUAACUACGAUCAUCAAUAAGAGGGAAAGAAAGCUAGUUACGACGAAGAAGCCGGUGGCCGUGUGGGUCUGUGGCCCAUAUAUACGUGUCGAACAUCAAAUUCUUGCGAGCAACGCUACACAUACGACAUGUCAUGUACGGUACGAUGCUUGCAGCUGCCUGCCCUAUGCAGUCAGUCCAAGCUGCCUCGCUGUUCUUGAUCAAUUACUUAGCAGAGAUGAGACUCUAGAGAAUCACUUGUGCAAUUAGGCAAUAGCAGAAGCAGGGGAGGAGGAGGACAAGGAGGCGGGGUCACGCGCGCAGUUGGGCUUCACGGCCCAAUAUUUAUUUCAUGGCCCGACAGUAGAUUCAUUCUUUCCUUACAGGUCGCGCUUAGGGUUGGGCUUCACGGCCCACAUUAGAUACCUAGCCGGUCUGGUCGGGGUGUGCAGCAGCUGGACCGGGGGGCCUUCUCCGACAGAGACCAUCGAGAAAGCUAUAUCUCCGGGAGACUCCCCUGAAAAAAAAAAUCUCCGGGAGACCAUAUAUUUCUCCGUUCCAUAUUAAGUGACUUACAUUCCCAAAUAUGGAUGUAUCUAUAACUAAAAAACGUAUAGAUACGUGUAAUAGAAAGUCAUUUAAUAUGGGACGGAGGGAGUAUAUCAACACAACCAUUGAUGCAUGUUAUUUAUGUUUUCUCUUCUCUAGUAUUACACAUGUCCUUAAGUACAAUCAAAUGCAAAGGUUUGAAGCUAAACGAUCUCGUCGUUACCAUGAUAAACACCAUUUACGGAUGCUGGUACCGUGUUUACGCUGCUCGUUCCGGUAGUCCACAGGUUUGAGGCCACCGGCGCCGCCAUGAGAUGCAGGAACGGGUUCACCGGCUCAUCAAUGUCCAUCUCGCCCUCGAGCAUCUUCACCACCGCGCUCAUCGGCGGCCUCGCCUCCGGCUGUUGCUGCACGCACCAGAAUGCCAUCUUGCACAUCCUCUCCGCCGUCUCCUCGUCCUGCUCGCCCACGAUCUCCAUAAGCACGCCGCUCUCGUACUUGAUCCAUGCCAUCUUGGGGAACCACUGUUGGCUCUCGGGCACGGCCUCGUCGAAGUUCCUCCUCCGGCCGAUGAUCUCAAACAAGAAGAUGCCAAAGCUAUACACGUCGCACUUUUCGGUGGCGCCGGCCUGCAUCCACAUCUCCGGUGCGGCGUACCCAGGGGUGCCACGCAUCCCGGACACGUCUUGUGUGUGUCGGCCCGGUUCAGCAGCCGUGCAAGCCCGAAGUCAGCCACCUUGGGUGUGAGGCUGCCAUCAAGGAGCACGUUGCCAGGCUUGAUGUCGUAGUGCACGAUCCUGCUGGCUCUCCUCGUGGAGGUACCGGAGGCCCCUCGCAACACCAACGGCAAUGGCACGCAGCGUCGGGAAGCCAACACCACGGUUCCGAUCAUUGAAGAGGUAGGCGUCGAGCGCGCCGUGCUCCAUGUACUCGUACACCAGCGCGCGCACGCCACCGGUAGUGGUGGCGUCGAAGCAGAAACCGAAAAGCCUAACGAGGUUUAUGUGGUGCGUCCUCCCGAUGGUGCCCACCUCCGCCAUGAACUGCUCCUGGGAGGUCCGGUCAUUGGAGGUGGCGUGGAGCCGCUUCACGGCGACCACAAGACCGUUGGGGAGCAUGCCCUUGUACACGGUGCCAACCCGCCGGCGCCGAGCCGGACCGAGUAGUUGUUGGUGAAGCCAGAGAGCUGCUCCGGGUGAACCUGAUGGGCUUCUCGCCGGCGAUCUCCUUGAGGAACCUCUCCACGGUGGCGUCCCGUAUCUGCGAGUCCGGCACCACCGCGUACAACGACGACGAGGCCGGCGCCGCGACAGCGCUGGUGGUGUUGAUGUUGAUGGCUGGGAGGCCAUUCUUCUUGACGUACCUGUACACGAAGUAAGCUAUGGCGAUGGAUCCCAGCAAGCCCAACACCCCAAAAACUGCAUGUCGAAAUUCAGGUAAAACACGCGUAAAACAAAACAGAAAAUUUUCUCCUGAAUUGAUUCUUGAACACGAUUUUAAUGGAUGGAACUGUGGAUUUGCUUGUACGCUCACCGACGCCGAUGACCGGCACGUUGGUCAUUCCGUUGUUGAGGUCUUUGAAGGCUUCGUUCAUAUCAGCCGGCGGCGGGAUAAAAACAGACAUUGCUGAUGAACUUUGUUUGUGAAAUGAAAGGGCCGGCUGGAUAUAUAUCGAUCGUUUAGCCAGAACGCCAAGGACGAUAGCUCUACUCGAUAGUUCUAACUUGUACUGAGUACUGUUUUAAAACGGGAACUGCAUUCAUAUUUAUAUAGGAGUAGUAGUACGUACUAUAGCAAGAUCCAUCCACGCACGUGUCGGUUCCAGGGGUUCGUGGCACCUACGCGACCCCGGAAAUGUACACCGGAUCACGGCCAACUGGCCAAGUAUUCAACACGGCAAAUUAACGAGGAUGCCGUGUGGCCCAUAUAUAUAUAUACGUGUCAAACACUCAAAUUCUUGCGACCCAUACGACAUGUCUUGUAGUACAAUGUUUGCACGAAACAGCUGCCCUGUGCAGUCAAUCCAAAGCUGCAUCGCGGUUGUACAACUCGAAGGAGAUUGCAGUCACACACACAGCCACGGAUGUACACAAAAGAGUUAAAUAAACAUACAAGAUUCCUCGAAAAAUAAAACAUACAAGAAAGAGUGAGGAGCUCUUUUUCUUUAUUACUCCCCCAAUCCAUAAGAAUACGUAGUACUCCCGAAGGAACGUUGACCGCUGACCAUCCUGAACGAAAUGGCUCUCCGUCUACGUCGAACAAUCAGGCAAUAGCACAAGGAGGAGACAGAUCCUUCCAAAAAAAAAGGAGGACGGGAAGGAGGCGGGGGAGGACAGAGGAGGAUCAAGUCACGCGCGUAGCUGGGCUAUUCCAUGGCCCGACAAUAGUGAUAGAUUCUUUCCUUAUGUGGGUCGUACUUAGGGUUGGGCCUCACGGCCCACGUUAGGUGCCCGGCCUGGUCCAAUCCGGUCCGGUCGAGGUGUGUGCAGCUGGACUUGGGCCCUUCUCCGACAGAGACCAUUCAGUUCGACGCGGACCGAGCUCUCAGAAGAAAAAAUGAAAGAGUUCGACGCGGAUCGAGAAAUUACUACGGAGUACUUCGCGGUCGCUGGAAGCCCCGAAAAGGAAGAAUGAAUGACGGCGUGGGUGACGUGGCGCGGCGAUCCGACGUGGCCCAAUAGCACCUGGCGGCGCCUUAUCCGAUGGCAAUCCGGCCUCAUCCCAACUCCAUCCACACGCUCACCACAAAUACUCUCGCGCUUUCCCGUCCCCACCAAAUCUCCUUCGUUUAACGCCUCAGCACACGCCCUGCCCAAGCUCUUCUUCCAGCCCAAAUCCCCAGCCAGCAGCAGCACAAGACAUCUAUCCAGCAAUGGCGUCCACCUCCUGCUUCCUCCACCAGUCCACCGCCCGCCUCGCCGCCUCCGCCCGCCCCUCCGCCGCCCGCACCCAGAUCCUCGUCUGCAAGGCCCAGCAGCACGACUCCUCCGACGCCGCCACCACCCGCCGCGCCGCCCUCUCCCUCCUCGCCGGCGCCGCCGCCGCCGCCUCCCUCAAGGUCUCCCCCGCCUCCGCCGCCUACGGCGAAGCCGGUACGUAACAGAGAUCUUACCCGCCGUUUGGUCCCAACAGAUCUCUCUCUAAUUUGGUUGAUUUCUCUGUAUGUGCAGCGAAUGUGUUUGGGAAGCAGAAGAGCACGGAGUUCGUGGCGUAC